rnacentral:lncRNA from 1 species
GUUAUGAUUGGGAACAAACUCUAAAACCAAUAGUCUAUCUGCUCCUUGACUGCAGUGCCCAAUCAUUUUGACGAUAUUUGGGUGACUCACACAUCUAAGGUACUCGCCCUCCUCCAAUUUAUCCUCCAAAUUUAUUUUCUUAAGUUUUUUAAUGGCAACCUCUCCACAAUCUAAGGUUGCCUUGAAGACUUGACCAAAACCUCCCUCCCCAAGCAGGCAAUUGUUGGAGAAAUAAUCAGUUGCCUCUGCCAGGUCUUUAAAACCAUACUCCUCCAUCUUAUUUCUUUCAGCAUUCUCAGAGGCUGCUGCGUCAAUUCCGCUCUCCUUAUUAGAAUUAGGUGAGCCAGAUCCAAUCGGAUCUGGACUUCGAUCCUCCUCAUCAGAAGAUGAGCUUGAUUCCAUCGGAUCUAGAACCGGUGGCCGGAGAUGAAGUGGCGGUGGAGGUGCAAGGUUUCGAUUUUCCUCAUCGGAAAAUUGGCUAUAAAAAGAAUCAAGAGCCCGUAACUGGUGACGUAGCGUUGCAGGUGGAUGACUUUGAAUAUCGUCAUAGCGAGAUUCAAUCGGAUCUAUUGACUGAUGAGGUAGCGGUGCAGGUAAGUUAGAUCUAUCAUCGUCUGAACAAGCGACAAUUGGUUAUGGGGGAAAGAAAAUUCAAAAAGUACUAGAACUGAAAAGACUCUGCAUCUAAACACCUCAAAUAGUUUGACCGAGAGAGAGAGAGAGAGAGAGAGAGAGAAGAGAUUCUAUAAUAAUGGAAAAUAAACAACAGCAUAAAUCAAAAGCCUCCAUCACUUUGGAUUCAGUAUAGAGUGUCAGCUAAGGGAAUACCUUUAGUGCCGGUGCGACGAUCCGCCUCAGUAGUGAUUUUGCUCACAAAGCAACCCAUCGAAGUUGCUAUACUUUUGCAAUCAUGAUCACUGCAACAAAAGUCCGUAGCAACUAACAGUGCUGUGGCUUGACAGCUUUAUAGACACCGUCGGUAGCAGCCAAUUAUUGAUCAUUUAUAAUUAUUUUAACUUUAAAAUUUAAAAUUUUUAUAAUAUUAAAUAAGUUCGUUUUCAUUAAAAAUUUUUUGAACAAUCAUUUUCAUAAAUUAAUAUAUAAAACAUUUGACCUUUUAACUUACAAAAUAAUUUAUAAUUAAGUUAUUAAAAAUUAAUUUUUAAAAGUCAGUUAAAUCAAUAAAAAUACAGCUAGCUGGAUCAUUAAUUGACUAUGCAGGAUAACUUUUAGAUCUUGAAUAAUGUCUCCUCCAUAAGAAAUGCUGUUUCUUUGGAAAUAACAGAUUGAGUUUAAUAAUUCUUUCCAGCGGUUUAGAUUAUUUUCUAUCUCGUGAGGCUCUUAUUGUAAUUCAACUUGACCCUGCUAACUUUUUAAUUACAACAUGAAUUGAGCAAGGUUUAUUUAGCAAAAAAUGAAAAUUAAGAGAGUCUUGCUAAAAAAUAAAUGCAUUUCUGUAUAGUGAAAGUUUUCAACAGUUCCGUCCGAAAAUGAGGAUUCAAAGAAUUUCAUGUAUCUGGUUAUCAUCGUCACGUAGAUUCUGACACAACCACUCCUCUAAGUUCACUAUGAGCGUGAAAAAAUUCUCAUGCAUGCCACUAGACACCAACUCAUUCCACAUAACGAGUCCCUGGACAGUCUGGUAACACAUGAAAGAUGGUUUUCACUGUUACAACUCUCGCAUCUAACGCUUGCAAAGAGAUAUCUGCAUGCUCGCUCCUCAUUUGUAAGGAUCUGUCCAUGAAAAGUUAGCUAGAGGAAUGUUCUCACCCUCUGUAGUCCUUUCCAUUGCCAGAUUAAACUCCGUGCAUUGUUCCACACACAUUUAUAACCAAAUUUGAUCAUAUACUAUCCGAAGUUUGUAAAUUUCAAGAUCAUGCUAUCUUUGUCCAAGUCAAGAGCUAGAGGAAAUGAUUUAAGAUAGAGAGAAUAGAGAUGCAGGCAAAAGAUCUUCCAAACGAGCCUAAUUCCACCCAGUCACGGAUUCAAAAAUUUAAUUCAGAGGACUCAAUUUAAAUAAAUAACUAAAGUAAAUAAAACAUACUAUCUCCCUUUUCAUUGUUUUGUCUUUUUUAUUUGUUGUCUUUUUUAUUAUUAUUCUAAAAUUAUUGUUUAUUUUCUUUCCUUUUAUUAUAGUAACAGACUAUUAUAAUCCUAUUUAAUUUUUUAUCAUUUCCAAAUCAAUCUAUCAUUAAUUAUUUUUUAAAUAAGUAUUUAAAAUAUUUCUUAAUAUUUAAUAAAAUUUAAUGGUUUUAAAAUAAGUAUAAUUGAAAAGUCAAUAAAAUAAAUUAUCUUUCUUAAUAUGCGUAAAAAAUUAAAAUUGACAAAAAUUAUCGAAUAGAGUAUAAAUUAAUACAUAUUCAGAAAAUAAAUUUUCAUAAAAAAUGGAUAAACUAUUACAAUUAAAUCAUAAUCAUCCUCAUUUAUUUUUUAUUAAUUGAAAUAUAUUCUUAAUAAUAUUAUUAUCAACAUUUACAAAUAUAUUUUUUAAUAUAAAUUAUUGAUUAAUUAUUUAUUUAAUGAUAUUCUUUAUUUAAAGAUAUUUACUGCAGAAAAAAUUUUUUCUGCUACGGUUAUAACUUGCAAACUUUUUAAAAAAUAAUAUUAUUAAAAAAAUAUAAUAUUUUAAUAUAAGAUUUACUAUUGAAAUUUAAUUUUUUUUUAAAAUAAAAAUUCUAAUCCAUUAAAAUUUAUUUUCGUAUAAUUUCAAUUAUAUAAAUAGAUCAGUAAUUAAGUAGGAUAAACAAAAUUAAAUCAAAUAACGAAUGAAUAACUUAAAAAAAAAAAAUUAAACGGAGACUUGACUUUAAAAUCUUGAAGAUAAAAAGUAAAUUUUUUGGAUUGAGAAAUAAUAGGGAAGAUGAGAGACUAAAUAGUAAAAAUUUCUUUGACAAAUGGAUUAAAAAGUUUGAUCUUAUAAAAUAUAAUAAUAAUUUAAUUAAGUAAUUUUGAAAUAAAGAUGAGUUGGUAAGUUUUUUAAAUAUAUAGAGAUUUAAUGAUAAUUUUUCAUAUUUCAAAAAAAAUGCAAGCCAAGGUGUUUGCAUUAACAAACACAAAAAGUUUGAGUUUUGAAUUAUUUUACCAUAUAUUUUCUUAACCUAUCUAACCAAAGUUGUCAUCUGCAUACAUUUAUCAACUCAUCAUGUACAUUUCAUAAUAUGUAUGAACAAAUGCUUAAUGCAAGCUUAGAUCUUCCUCACAUCCUAAUUAUGUUAUUGAGAAUUGUAUUCUUUGGGAUCCAUUUGAGCAAAAGAAAAACAGUACAAGACACCGAAAUCAAGUGAUCUUGAAAAUAGAAGGGGCAUACCUUACGGUCUAGUUUUUCACCAACACCGAGUACUUCCUGCACAUUGCGAGUCAUUAUUUGGUGAACUUCAUAGAGUUCAUCAUUCAACUUUGCAAUAUUCCGCUGAGUGCGGGUGUCCUGGUAUAAUUUCUUUGUUUUCUGUAUGAAAGUAUCUUUAAAACAUAAGCAUGAAAACAGAAUCAAGCCUAGCAGAGGUAUAGAAAACAAAGUAAACAAAAUCGCAUGUGUGAAGGACAAGUUCAAUAAAACAAAAAUAACCAAAGACCUACCGAAUUUAAUGAAGGCAUAAGGUCUGGCAGCAGUUUCAAUCUGAGCCCCAUUGAUGCGCUCAAAUUCAUUUUUCAGAUCUUCCAAAUACUGAAAGGCUAGCUUCUUAGGGUAAGAGCGAUCACACAUAGUAAGGUAACAAACAUGUCCUUCCAUGAUAUAACUAAGUUCCAGUGUCAAGGGAAAUGCUGACAAAGAUAAAUGUGCAUGUACAUAUUUUUAUAAGUUAACUAAAGCAAUGGAAUAAUUGUACCACAUUUUGAACACAAUAAUAGACCAAUACAUCCACAAUAACAAUAUCAAAUAAACAAAUGAUGUUUAAAGCAAGGGACCAUUUCAGUUCAGCAAAAUCAAAUGUAAGAAACAGAAAUUUAAGUUAUGAGUCCAAAAUUUUAAAAGGCAAUCCCAUCAAUAAAUCCAAACAUGAGCAGGAUACUGGAACACAUAAGGACCCGUUUCAAUGGACAUCCUAGAAGGUUCAUUUUGGCGAGUAGCAAGAUUCUUAAACAGCGGCUUUACUUGUUGUUUGUAGAUUUCAAUAUCUUUCACAUCACGCUCGGCCAGUGGAAGCCCAUCAGUGACACGAGCAAUCAUUGUCAGUUUCACCAUUUUGACUUUCUAUCUUCCUCAGAUGUACAAAAUAACUGCAUUAUGUCAAAACCAGAUACAUGAGAUAGCUAACAAGUUGAUUGUAAUCCAAACGAACUCUUUCAAGCUGAUGAUAUAGCAGGAACAAGAUGCUCUUGGUUAAUGCUUAAGCUACUUUGUAACUUUUUAUCAGUAACGAUCACAUUGGAGUGGGGCAAAAUAAAAUUUUUAAGAAAAAAACAUUUAAUUGCAAUAAGAGGCUAGAUUUUGGCUGCGCGAAGCAAAAUGCUAAAUUUUGAGAACCUCACUGACUAUAUGGUCUCCUUAAAAUCUAACAAUAAUAUCCUACCACUAAAAUCCGUACGGUUAUUUUGAAAUUGACACCAAUUUCUCAACAAAUAGGCCCAGCUGUAAAGCCAAAAUUGCUACAAAAUAACAAGAAGCCGAGUUCCUUCUUUUUCUUUCAAUCAUCAAAAACAGAGACAAAGAUUUUAAUCUUCUGUAAUUUACCUAAAAUGUAUUCCAAGAUGUCCAGUUCUCCACAUAUGAGAAAUGAUCUUUAAAGAAGGAGAGAGAGACCCAUUUCUUGUUUUUGAUAAAAUUAUUGAAUUUAACCAUUACUAAUGCAAUAGGAAACAAACCAAGAAAACAAGAUACUUAUGAUCUAUCUGCAUACCGAAGAAAUCAUUUAACCACUUGUUUAAGCAAAUUUGCGAGAUACCACAUUAAAAAUCAAUGUGCAGCAAAAACACGAAAUUAUCCAAUCACAGAAGGUUACAGCGACAAGUACCUGAUAAUAGCAUCUGGUACUUUGAUUAUUGAACUACGGGCCUAAUAGUUAAAAAGUUAAAAAGUUCAGUGGUCGAUAGUAUUAUAUUUUGAUUAUUGAACUAUUUAAUAAAAAGUAUAGUUUGUAUUAUUAUAAUAUAGUUAUAUUUAUUAUGAAAGUAUUUUGAAUAAGUUUUUGUAUUUUAAAAUAAGAUAUUUUGACUAAAAUGAAGACUUACCAAAGUUCAGCUUUUGUUAGACCAAAAGCUCAUUGACCAUAGCAUUAUUUCUUUCACAAAUAAUUGAUUUAAAAAUUAAAAGAAUUUAUAAUAAAAGAUUAGAAAUACGAUAAAGUCUUUUUUUUCAAUCUGCAAAUCAAUAUUUACAUUAUAUUAUUGUAACUUGCAGUAAAAUUUCGUUACAACAAGUAAAGUUUUCUUUAUUUGUAGUUUUUUUUUUUUUUUUUAAAGUUAUCUGAAGCCAAAGUCCUGUUCUUUCUGGCAGAUUUUGUUUUGGGUUCUUCACUAUUUUUGUUCAAAAGUUGAUGAUGUCUUGGGGUUCUUUUGACUUGUCACUAUUUCAGUUGCUAUAUAAGGUUGAGUUAAUAAUGAAACUUAAGCAGAGCUGUGAUGCUUCUGUUUUAUUGGAUGCUGCUGAAUUGUUGAAAAAUGAGAAAGAUUCUACCCCAACGAAAGGCUGAAGGGGUUUGAUAUAAUAGACAGAAUCAAGUCACAACUUGAGAAGUGUGUCCUGAAGUUGUUCCUUGCGCUGAUAUAGUUGUUUUAGCAGCCAGAGGUGUUGUUCAAGUAUAUAUCCCAGUGCCUCCCACCUUCUACCUCAAAUCUCUCUCUCAGCUUCUCACCAGACAUGUGAAUUUCAGGCCAUUGGUCCAUUCUAUCCAUUAUUAACGGGCAGAAGAGAUGAUUUGGUCUCUUUUGCAGACAGCAACAUACGAGCUUCCUUCACCUCUAGCUGAUUUACCUGAAGCCGUUGCAUGUUUUGCACCUAAGUGUCUUGAUGAAAGAGAAGCUGUAGUCUAUUGAGUAUAAUGCUUCCCUUCUCUCCUAGUUCCUUGUGGUGGCAUGCAAGCUUUUGGUGAUUUUUUUGUUUAUAUGAUUCUCUUCACAUUAACUUUUUUUUUUCUUUUAUUGUUGUCAUCAAUCAUCAUAUUAUCCACCGAAUGAUUUCAUAAUGUUUUCCGUGUUUGAACUUCUUACAGUUUUACUCUGUAGAAUGGCUAUCAGACACUUUCCCCAGUACUUUAUGUUUAUCUGUAUGAAUCCACAGAGGUGUAUUUGAUUAGCCUCAGUUUUGUUCAGAUGUGCAUUCUGUAGUGACCUAGAAUCUUAACGUUUCUAAUUGUUCCCUUGCAUUUACUUCUAGGUGUUCACAGCGUUGGAAUGAUCCGCUGCAAAUUCUUCACAAACAGCAUCCACAACUUUGGUGGGACUAAUAAGCCUGAGCCCUUUCUUGAUCUUCAAUUGAUGCAAUAACGUUGAUGUAUCAGUUACUUCAGCAGCAGCACCUUCCUUUGAUGUGUUGUUGCCCUCAUCACCAGCAUCCUAAGCUUCUAAAGACUGCUUCGGAUCAUCGUCAGCAGUAUCAUCAACUUCACGUAGCGGAUUACGUUCUCCAUCUUCUGGGGACCGGGGAAGGAAGGAUGCAACUCGUCAGCACCACCACUAUCACUUUCCUUCUAAGGCUCAUUGUCUUUCUCACUAUUGUCUUCAACGACACCAUAAGUUUCAUAUGAAGGUUCACUAUAGUCCUCACUAGAGGAUCCAGGAAUCAAUUUGGCCUAUGAGGGACCUGGAAACAUGUUGGUUCAGUAGACCACCAGUUUUCUCCAAGGUAGAGGAAUCCUCUAUACCGAUCAAUAACUAAUGUCUGGGGAAGAAACUGGGAUUAAGGUUAGAGCAUAUGCUUCAGAUGCAUACUUGUUCCACCGAGACUUUGCCCGAACAAUGAUGACGAAGAAUCUUCACAGGUUCAGUGGGUCAGGUCCAGCUCAAUUGUUCGAAGGUGGCAUAGAGGAGAUUGAUUAGGAAGAAGGACUUUUAUCCAGUUUUCCCUACGCUAACUUUCUGGGUUUUGUUGUCACGAAUUUGAAUACUGAGGAAUUUAGAUAAAUUUCUGUUGUUUACUUGUAUAUUUAGUAUCCAGAUUAAAACCAAACUGUCCAAUGCUUGUUCAACAAAAUCUAUGAAAUUCAAGUUCUUCUCUAUCUCUCUUUUUCCCUUUCAAAUUGGAUUAGCACUAGGGUUAUAUACGAACCAAACUGUUCAUGAGUUAUUCAAGACUCGACUCGAUAAAAGCUUGAUCGAACUCGGUUUAUUUUCUAAACGAGUCGAGUUCGAACUCACUUUUUAAACUCAUUUAACAAAUGAGUCCGAGUUUGAGUUUAACAGUAUUCGGCUCGUUUAGACUCGUGAGCUCGGCUCGUUUUUAAGUUUAUGAAUAAACUCAUGAACUUGUUCGUGAGUUCGGUCACCAACACUAAUCCCUUGUCGAAAGUUGAAGGGAUAUAGAGGGCUGUGACUUAUCUAUAAAAGAACAACCCUUCUAUAUUAUUUAGUUUUGGAUUUCAGAAAUUUCAAUUAAAUAAAAAAAUUUAAUUUAAAAGUCUCUUAACGAUCUUAUAAUUUAAAUUUUACUUUUAAUUUAAAUGAAUUUAAAUUAUAUUGAGUUUGUUUAUAAUAUAUUCGAACUCAAAUUCGAGUCUAAAUGAGUUAAAAUUCGAGCUUAUUGAGUGAAGUUUGAGUUCACUCGUUAACGUGAUAAACGAGCUUAUUACGAAUCAAACUUGAAUUUAAUAUUUAAUUUAUGAAUCGAGUUCGAGUUUAAUAUUUAUUUUAUGAAUCAAGUUCGAGUUUAUAAAUGAAGUUCGAGUCGAAUUCGAUCUCGACCUUUUAAAUUUAUUUUCUAAACGAGUAUGAAUUUAUCAAAACUCGGCUUAGUUCGAUUACAAUCCUAACACAUUCUUAUAAAUCUUAAAUUUGUACGAUAUGCAGCACUCCUCUACCCUUAGAGCAUGCUGAAUUGUUUCAUCACUGACAUUAUGCUUAUUUGCAGAGGAGACAUUCAAUGACUUGUUGCACCUUUCUGUCGUAUGAAAAAUGAAUUAUAAAUCUUAUAAAUCUUGUGACUGCAUUUAUUGCAUCUCUUUAUGAAGAUACUCUAUUUAGAGCAUUUUUUCAAAUCAUGCAAAAAUAGAGAAAUAUUUUAAAAAACAUGCAGGAUUCAAAAAUAUUUUCGGAUAUUAUGUGUCAACGGAGCGUGUUCGCCGGUCAUACUGGCGAACACGCUUGUUCGACACCCAUGGUGUCGAAGAAGGGAGAGUUCGACACCAUGGGUGUCGAACUCUGCCUUCCUGAGCUUGUUCGCCACUAUGAGUGGCGAACAAGCUCGUCCGGGCCACAGGAGCAGUGCAAUUUGCUCCCGUGGCGAACAUGCAUGCAGGGUACAGCCCUGCAUCAGCUCUUCGCCAGCAUGCAUGCAGGGCCACAUGCAUGCCCCUGCGUGCAUGCAGGCCACAUGCAUGCCCCUGCGUGCAUACAGGCCACAUGCAUGCCCCUACGUGCAUGCAGGGUACGGCCCUGCAUCUGCUAUUCGGCACUAUUUCAAAAUAAAAAAAUAAAAAUAUUUUAUUAAAAUAAUUUUAAAAUAAAAUAAUAAAAUAUAUUAAAUAUUUUCAAAAAAUAUAAAUUUUAUUAUCUCUUAAUUUAUAUUUAUUUUAAAAAUAUUAAAUUUUAUUUUUAACAGUAUAAUAAAUUUUAAUUUUUUAAAAAUAAAAAUAUAUAUAUAAUAUUUUNNNNNNNNNNNNNNNNNNNNNNNNNNNNNNNNNNNNNNNNNNNNNNNNNNNNNNNNNNNNNNNNNNNNNNNNNNNNNNNNNNNNNNNNNNNNNNGCAGCGUGUUCGCCAGUCAUACUGGCGAACACGCUUGUUCGACACCCAUGGUGUCGAAGAAGGAAGAAUCCGAAAAUAUUUUCGGAUCCUGCAUGUUUUUGAAAAUAUUUCUCCAUUUUUGCAUGAUUUGAAAAAAUGCUCCUCUAUUUAAAACAAUUCUUAAAUGCACAGCCCUUCACUUAGGCAUGCCCAUUCCGAGGAGAAUGCUGCCAUGAAAGAGGAGAACCAUUUCCUGAGGGCAGAAAUGGACAGGAUGAUGGGGAGGAUGAAGGAGCUCGAGGAGCAACUGGCAUAAGGCAAGGGAAAUUUUCAAUUCCUGCUUUCCAAAACUUUCAUCCACCUAACUGACAGGAUCAAGAAUAGCAAUUCAGAAAGCUGAAUAGCAAAUCAGUUAUGCAAAAUAACAAAUAAGAUACGCAACAAUUAGGAAGAGGAAACAAAUGCAUAUGCACAAAGGAAGAACUUGCAAACAUGGGUAUCCAUCUAUAGUCUAAUUGAACCAAGUCUUUGUUUUGAACUUUUGAUGUCUGCAGACCCCUAUGGAACAGAGAAUUCCUUGUAGAUAUCAGUGAAUACAAUGUCAAGAUAUACAGGCCUUUUAAGACGAGAGUAAUAGUGAAGUGCUUCUUCUACAUCCAACAAAUGUUCUAUAUCACUUUUCUUUUUUGCUAGUGCAUAGCCUCCUUCAUCCUUCUUGUUUGAGUACUCUUUUCUUGAAGUGGAACUGUUCUUGCUCUUCUCUUCCUCUAUUCUCUCUUCUUUCUUCUUCAAUGGACUCUGAGGAAGCUUCAAGGGACUUUUGACACACCCAUCUUCUUCUCUUGCCAGUUUUUCUGAUAAUGUGAUACCAUUCUUCUUCCUGUUCAUUGCCUUUUCUAGAUCACACUCCCACUCAUUGCAGAAGUCAGUGUAAUAUUGAUCUGUUUUGUGAUUUUUUAUACUGCUGGUGGCACAUGGGAAGGGCUUGGCAUGGGCAGCUUUUCAUACCCUACAAAGAAGAGGGACUUGAGAUGUUGGAGAGUCUUGUGCAAGAACAUCUUGGUCUUCCGGAUGGAUUCUCCAAGCUCCAUCUUUUGGCUCUAUCCAUAGCUUGUUUGAUCCCUCAGUGUCUUUAACUGCAAUAACAGACACAACCCUAAUCUGUCUGGCCUCUUCUCCAAUGUGUGCAGACAAGAAAGAGACAGUUAAAGGCUCUGAAGGCCCCCAAGAGACAAAAGCAAUUGGGUCUAAAAGCAAUAUUUGUUCUGCUUUUGCUUCAAUGGCUUUUCUUUGUUCACACCCUUCUUUAUAUUGCUCUGUCUCUCUACUGUGGAAUUGUUUGAAGCUAGCGAAUAGCAACGUUGGAUUUCAUGAUCAUAGAUAGGAAGGCAAGGCUUUAAAUAUAUGCAUUAGUUAUCAAUAGAUUUCUAGGUAUGUGUGGAACUGUGAAUAAUCAUCUAAAUUUUGCCUUUACUAUAAACAAAAAGUAGCCCUAUUUGAUUCUGAAUUCUGAAUGGUUUGACAAAAUUUAGCUAUAUUGAUUAAGAUGCAAAUCUAAAGGCAGUGAGUAGGUGAGAAAAAGCUUAUUAUGAUAAUUCCUGUAUUACCCAUUUUUUGAAUUUAUGGACCCAUGAAUCAAUUGCUUCUGUGUGAAGGCUGUCUUGCAUGAGGUUGUUAGCUAAAGAUCAAUACCUAGUCAAUUUCAAGAUAAGGAGCAUUUAGAUUUUUGUGUAGUGAAGUCACUUUCUCACCUGUGUGAAGGCUGUCUUGCAUGAGGUUGGUAGCUAAAGAUCAAUACCUAGUCAAUUUCAAGAUAAGGAGCAUUUAGAUUUUUGUGUAGUGAAGUCACUUUCUCACCUUUGUCCAAGUGCAAAUCCUGACAACACUCUUAACAUUGAUAACUUUUUGAAGUAAUUUUUGUGCAUGGGUUGAACUAUAAUUUAAUAUCAGUCUUUUUUGAAGAGAUAAGGACUGCAAAUUAUAAUUGGUGUCUUGUUAUAGUAUUAUUCACUUAGACUAGAAAAGUGCAAGAAAAGGAGAGUAUUAGUAAAUUUUCCUCUCAACUCUUCAACAAGUAAGAUGGAUAUAUGGAUCCUAUCUUUCUUGAUAAAUUAAUAUUGAAUUCAAAUCUUGAAUAUUCAGUAUUUUUAAAAUUUGAAAUGCUGUAUUUUAUUUUUGAAUGAGUUUGUUCAAUGCAAAUAUGAAUUAGUCGGGUUAAUGAUUCUGUAUGAAAAAAUUCAUGCCAAGUACAUGAAGGAAAACCUUCACAAAAUAAAUAUAUAAUUACACUAUUUUCACAUUAAUGGAAUUUAAAGUAAUAAAAUAUAAAUUAUUAAAACCAAUGCACAUGUACUUACAAUUAUUAUUAACCUUCUAUUAUAUAUAUAUAUAUAUAUAUAUGAAAUGUCUAUUAAUAAAAUAAAAUAACUAUAUAAUUCAGUCACAGUCAAUAUAAGUAAUAUAUGUGCUAUUAGUUUAAAUAAUAUUAUUUCUAUAUUAGAAAUAUUUAAUUAUUUUUGUAAAGUCUAAAUGUAAUUGUAAUAAAUUUGAUUCUGAUUUUAAAAAAUUUCAAGAAUAAAUUUUCAAUUUUAGUUCCAAUUCUAAAAGUUUUAAAAAUCCAUUUCAGUUUUGAUUUCAAUUUGUGUAAAAAAUCGUCCCGGAGUCCAACAUUCUCAAAUUUGAUAUUGUUGGUUUUGGUGCCUGGCAGGAGGUUUUGUAGCUUGAAGGUCUCUAUUUAGCUUCUGUCCAAGAGUUUUUGCAGGGGAUGCUGGAGUGACAUAAUUAACAAUGACAUUUUUUAUUUUGAAAUUGGUGUAUGUACUCAGAAGAUGUUACUUUAGAGUGGGAGGUGACUAUUCAUAUUUUACUCGGUGGCCGAUUGUUGUGCACAUUGGUUGGCCAGUCCACGUUCACUUAAUUGAGCUUCUUCUUGCUAAGCUUGAAGAGUUGACUUUUAUUAAAAAAAAAAACAUUUAGAUCCGGCCUCUAACUCAGGUAAAUAAAACGGAAAUUUCUACCUUUAAAAACGUAACAUUUUUGCUAAUUAAAUUAAUAUGUUACAAUUUAAUGGAGAUUUAAAAUUAAAGAAUAAGAGACUCUAAGUUAAAAUUACGACUGUUGUAAUAAGAAUCAUUCUCUAUAAUUUAUAUAUACACACCUCAAUUAACGUAAAGAUUUUGUGAAAGGAAAAUUUUGAAAUUUAAGACAGUGAGAAUUGUAUUUGAUGAAGAUGUGGAUAUACAAAAAGGGAACCGGAUACAUAAAAUUACAGGGGCUGAUGCAGUUCACUGGAUAGAGGUAGAUCUAGGAUUUCAGUAAUGGCCAUAGGGAUCUUGAAGGAAAGCGUUGUCACUAUUUAGCCAUAUACUUUCAGAUGCCAAAUUUCCCUGUAGGACUUCAACAAUCUGCAUCAAAUAUAUAGCAUUACUAGAGUCCAUACUAUGCCCAGGGGAGGAUAAUUAGCUUUUAGAUAAUUUAUUAACUUUUUUAAAUAUGUUUUUAAUUUCAGUAGGUUUGUACUAAUUCCAAAGCUUGUCUGUAAUUUAUGUCCAUUGGUCCAAAGUAAACAUUAAUUAUGAGAUCCAAGUAUAUGGACCUCAAAAUUUAAAAAAAAAAGUGUAUUUAUAAAUUUAAAAAUAAUAUUUUUAUUAUAAUCAGUAAUCACUAAACACAUUUUCAACGACUAAUGUUAAUCAAUGAAGAUGAUUACAAAUUCACAACAAAUCACUAAAAUUGAAAAAAUAAAUAUUCAAGUUAAGAAAAAGGAAUUAAUUCAAAAAUAAUAACACACAUAUAUACAAUUGACAGCAUCCAAUUUCCUUUUCUUUACAUAAGUUGUAGGAAAAUUAAAUAUUUCUUAUGGGAAACUACUGAUCAUAUAUAUACAAAAUCUUUUAACAUUUUAAUAUAAAAAAAUUAUAUUUUAAAAAAAUAAAAAUGAUACGGAUCGAUUGAAGAAAAAAGAUAAUAUUUUAAAAAAUACAAAAAUAAUACAGAUCAAUCGAAGAAUAUAGAGUUUUGUUAUUUUUGCUACGUGCUCAAUUUUUAUCUCUAGUUGAGCAGAGAAUGUAUAAUUAAACAAAAGAGAAUGUAUAAUUAAACAAAUAAAUAGGUAGAACUAAAAAUUAAAAAUCAAAGUUAUUACUAGAAAAAUAAAAUAAUAUAAGAAAAGAAUACUUUAAUGGUAAUAAAUUAAAAAAAAAUCUUAAAGACUACAUACCUGGCUUAUUUUUGGACGAUAAUUUAUAGGUUUGUAAACACAAGCUGUUGCACAGUGAAUCAUUCGAAUCACCUCUGUUAUUUUAUAAUUAUUCUGCAAUUUACUGUCAAUAAUAUCAUUAUAAUUAUGGGUGUCUAGAGCUUGUCUCAAUUGAGGGGCUACCUGAAAUUUUGAAAAAUAUAAAUAUUAAUUAAUAUAUCAUUAACAAAAUCAUCAUAUCUUCAUCAAUGUUCAUUUAGGUUGCAUUUUUUAUAAAUUGAAAUUUUGAAUAUUAAAUUUAGAAUUUAACAUUCAUAAGUUUAAAACAAGCAUUUAUUUGGAGAAAAAAUAGUUCAUAAAAAAAAAAGAAAUUAAAAGCAUGUCUAAAAGAAAAUGAAACAACGUUAAAUUUUUCCUAAAUUGUAAUUAUUGAUAAAGUUACUUUGUUAAAAAGGAGAAAAAAACCCAUGGAGUAAGAGAAAAAAAUCAUUAUAAAUGUAUAUAUAUAUAAUUUGUCUAGAUUCUGUCUAUCUCUCCAUAAAAAAAUCAUAUAAAAUCUAAUGUUAUGUGAACCGAGCUUAUCUAAAAAUUUCUCCUAGAGCGAAAGAGACGUACCCAGGAAGUUAAGGAUCCAAUGAAAACAUUGUGCUCCCUGAGAAUAGCUGGUUUCCCAGUAAUCAACUCCAGAAGCACCACCCCAAAAGAAUAUACAUCGGACUUGUCACAGAGCUGAUUAGUUCUGAAAUACUCAGGGCAUAGAUAACUGCACGUGGAGAAAGCGUGCGUGAGAAAUAACCUAUUCUAUAAAUUUUCUCAAAAUUAUGAAAAUUAUUUUAUUACCCCAAUAAUAUAUAUAUAUAUAUAUAUAUAUAUAUAUAUAUAUAUAUAUAUAUAUAUAUACAUGUAUGUAUAUUUUACCCCAUGGUUCCCUUUAUCAUAGUGGUCACAUGGGUAUAAGGGUUUGGCAAUUCCUUGGCAAGCCCGAAAUCUGAAAUCUGAAAAGAAAGAAUUGAUAUGAUAAUUAAUACUAUUGUAAAUAAAAAUCAAAAGACAAUCGCGAAUAAUUUUAUAUUUCAAACUGAAAUCUUUUACUCUUAGUUUAGUUGUAAAAUACAAUUUUUAGGAAUAAAAUACAAUCAAUAAUUAAUAGCGGAUUAUAAUUAAUAUAACUGUAUAUUCUAAAUAAAGAGUUAGAAUUAAUUGAUGAGAAACAUUUUUUCAUUAUAGAGUUGAUAUAAAAAGUGGCUUUAGCUGCCUAUCAAUUAACAACUAUUUUUUAAAAUUUUUCAAACACUAUAAUUUAAUUAUUUGAAUACUUAUUAGUUAUUUACUACAUUCAACAAUUGAUUUGAAUACUCUCUUAAUAAUCUGAAAGCCAAUAUUUUUAAUGAUUUAAGUUUCUUUAUCUUAAUAAUUGGAUUUGAUUUUAUUAAUUUAUGGAUAUUUUAUCUAUUUUGAUUAUUUUAGUAAAUUUUAUAUAUUAAAAAAAGAAAAACUUAAAUUUGAAAGGUUUAGAUAAAUAUCAGAAGUAGAGUCAUAAAUCUAGUUAUGAACAUGCUUAAGCCGUACGUAAAGGAAUAAGCGGUUAGAAAAACCUUAUGUAAGACUUACGCCGGAGCUGAGAGAAUUCUAGAGCCAAAAAUUUUGUUUUGAAAGUCACAAUUAGGAUCUUUUCAGAUAAAUUUUAGGGAGAAUAUUUUGUAUUUACAAAUUGUCUUUUACUCUUAUUUUAGGAGAUAGAUAUGUUGUUGGGAAGAAUCUUUUAUAAAAAGGAAAUUAUUUUAGCAUGGAACUUUUUUCUUUUUCUUUUUCUCUUUAACAUUUAGUUUUAUAUUUAGCUUCACUGUUUUCUAGAUAUAAUUAUUUUGGUUUUGACAUGUACUCAAAACAAUUAAUUUCUUUUAUGUAGAUAAAGAAUUUUUGAGGUUUAAUUUGUAAAAAUAUGAGAUCAUACUAAACUUAAUGUUCUAUUUAUAUUUUUAAUUUCUAUAUUAUUUUUAUAUACUUAAAAUUAUUGUUCAUUUAUUGAAUUCAAUUAUUUAAUUAAGUAAUUAAAUAAUAUAUGAUUAUUUCACUUAUAAAUAAGUUUGAUAAUUAUAACAAGCAAUAUUUGUUAGUGUAGAAUUACAUAUUUUAAUUUUAGUAACAGUACUGGUAUGAGUUUUUUUGCUAGAGUAUGUUUUCCUAAUUUUUAAUAGUAUUCGCAAAAUCAUAUCUUAUAAAAUUGAUAUAGAUUUAUUUGUUAAUUAAGAACUAAUUAAUUAGUGUAAUAACUAAGGAAUUGAAAUAAAAUUAUUUGCACCUGUGAUCAAUUUUAUAAUGCUAAAAUACUUCUACGAUUAGAUAUUUUUUAAUUAAAUUAAUUAAUUUAAUUAUUUAUUGCACAAUCGAAUUGCUUCUUUGUUAUAUUUUAUUUAGUUAAUCUUCAUCGCUCUUAUGAAUUCGAUUGAUUAUAUUCACGGUUCAUAUUUGUUUAUUUAUUUUACUAUAUUUGACACCCAUUAAUAAUUAAAAAAAAACAGGUUUUUUCUUAUAAAAAAAAUUAUAUUUUAAAAAUUUAAUUAAUAUCACUAUAUAUAAAUUUAUUAAUAUUCUUAUCAAAAUUAAGCGUUUGGAAAAUAAAUUAUGUUUUAAAAAAAAUCUUUUCUGUAAAAAGUAUCUUUUACAGAAAAUAUUUUAUAUAGAAAAUAUUUUUUUGAUAUGAGUUAUUUUUUGAAAAAAAUAUAAAGAUAAAGUAAUAGUAAUUUUAUUUUUAUAAUUUAAAUGUUUUUGUCUCUCUUGCAAGCAGUUCUUUGAGGAUUUUGCAUACUAUUCACCUUCUAAUUUCUUACAAAUGCGGUUUAUUAUCUGUUCUAUAAAUCCCUUUCCAAUUUCAUGACUUUAGCUCAAAUUAUCAAGGCACAUGCACGCAUCUGUAGUGAAAUUAGCAAAAUUUUGAAGUAUCAUGUAUAAAGCUUUAUCCCAUGUAAAUCUUACCUUUGGUUCAAAGUUUUGAUCAAGAAGUAUAUCAUUUGAUUUGACACCUCUGUGUAUGAUCUUAGGAUUACCUAAAAAUACAGAUAUUAUAGUAAAAUUAAUGUGAAAUUCAAUGACCAUGCCAAAACCUUAAACAAAAUAUAAGAAUCUGGCUUGUUAGCUAAAUACUCACAGAUUUCAUGUAAAUAUGCCAAUCCUUUUGCAGAACCUAUGGCAAUUUUCAUUCUGGUAGGCCAAUCAAUAAUCACUUUGUCUUCUCCUGCAAUUAUUGAAAGCUUGCUUGUAGAUGAUUUUUCCUUUUCUAUUUGGAUGCAUAAAAAGGAAAAUCUAAUUAAGUUAGGGACUCACUAUUUAAAUUAUAUCGUAGAGAUCCGUUGGGAAUAAACUCCAAGAUAAGCAAUCUAUUUGCUUUGUCACUGCAAAAUCCAAUCAUCUUCACUAGAUGUUUGUGAUAGACGCGGUUAAGCGUUGUAAUCUCCGCCGGAAAAUCACCUUCAUCCUGGUUAGGCGAAGAUUUAAACUUCUUAAUUGCAACAACUUCACCAUUUGGAAGUAUUCCCUUAAAAACUUGACCAAAACCACCCUCGCCAAUGAGGUUGGCAUUAGAAAAGCCACCAGUUGCCUUUGCUAAUUCUUUGUAAGUAAAUAUUUUUUGUGGAGCUAUUUGUAUCCUCUCAACGCCAAGUACUGAUUCUAGAUUAGUAGUAGCCCUUCCUGCAUGUGAAGGUGAAUUGAUACAUAAAAUAUAUACAUAUAUAAAGAGAGUUAUAGUGGAUUUACAGAAGAUUUAGUAACCCCACAUACUUUAUCUACAGAGAUAAGAAAUAUUCUUUAUAUAUAUUACCUUGUAGAGUUUCAACGUCUUUCCGUUUCAUUAUCUUCAUGUGAGACAUAUUUCCUUCAAGAACUUCAAUUAUCUGCAUGUCAUUGUAAUAUUAAAAUUUAUAUAUUGUUAAUACUUAUUACCUAAAAUAUUAUUGUGAUGCUACAUCAGAUAAUUCAAAUUUGGAUAAUUAAUCUAAUCAUACUAAAUUAAAGUUACAUAGUUUGUAUAAGUUAUAAAAGGCGAUAUUUCAAUAAACAAUUGGUUAACUAAUUGUUAGAGCUUAUAAACUAAUCAAGCUAAAGAGAUUACUUUCGAUGCAAGUUUUUCUCUGUGGUCCCUUUGUGGCUCGAUGCUCUCGCCUUUUCCUUUUCCUUAAACCUAACUUCUUCUUUUCCCUUCCCCAUGAAAGACGAUCUGCGUCAAUUGACUAUCGAUGAAAAAGAAGAUAUUGUUGUCUCUAUUAAGAGCUCCAAAGAUAUUUCGAUCAUCACUUAUGAUUUCUGUACGGUGGGGAUAUUUUUUACAUACAAUCCAAUCAAUUUUCAGAAUAUGCAGACUUCUUUAGUAGAUUUAUGGCAUCCUUUAGAGGGGGUAUCUAUUAUGAAAUUAGAGGCAAAAAGAUAUAUGUUUCGAUUUUUUAAUAAUGUUGAUUUUGAAAAUAUAGUGAAUGGGGCUCUUGGUUGUACAAUCGAUUUCUGUUUGUUUGGAAGGAGAUACAAGGUAAUGAAAAUCCUCUCCAUAUUCCACUAACUCAUUCUGAUUUUUGGGUUCUGAUUAAAGACAUCCCUUCUAGUUAUUAUAACGAGACGUUGGAUAAAUUGGUCGGGGAUUUUGUUGGCCACUAUAAAGAGUAUAAUAUGAAAAAUGCUUCAGCUAUGUCGCCGAACCCUAUGAGAGUUAAAGUUUGUUUGGACAUUCGGCAACCUUUGAAACGGCGGAAGAAGUUUGUUGGAGAUGAUGGUACUGUGUUUACUGUGAAGUUUCAAUACGAAAAGCUGACUAUUUUUUGCUAUCUAUGUGGGAAACUGGGUCAUGUGAAUAGGGGUGGCAAGCGGGCGGGUUUUCACGGGUACCCGAUCCGUCCAAAUCCUAUUAGGACGGAUUUAGGUUUUUACAAAACGGAUUUGGGCGGAUUCGGAUUUGAAAAAUUUUACCCGUCUCGGUUUCGGGUAGGGUUCGAAGUUAGGUGAUUGGAUACCCAUUACCCGAACCCGAUUAGCUAUACUUACAAAACUAACCCUAAUUCCUUUUUUCAUUUUACUUCAUACACUUCCCUCUCUCCGUCGGCGCCUCUCUCCCCCGCUUCCCUCGAUCGACUCUCUCCCCCACUUCACUGCCGGCAGCCCAGUCGGCACCUGAACCCAAGAGGAGGAAACUCGAGCCACCAACCGCGUCGCAGGUAUGUCUCCUGGUUAUUCAGAUUUAUGAUUUCUCUUUUCUUUUAAUACUCUCUGCUUUUGAAUGCUCUGUGAACUGGGUUUUAAUAUAGAGUUGUGGAAAUUGGUGAUGUGUCUAUGUGUAUCUUCAUCUAAUUAGGCUGAUUUAUGAUUCGUUUCGUUGAAAUUAAUAGUUGCAACUAAUUUGAUGCUUCUCCCAAUUCCUAUUAUUUUGAUCUGGAGCUAAAAAAGAAUUCUCUGUUGAUUAACCAAUUGCUUUUCAUCCAUGGAAGAUUUUGUUAGGGUUGGUUUAUGGUUCAGAAAAUUUUCAAUUACUUUGAUUUGGGCUUGUGGAUGAAUGAAAUCUGAAUAUAUAGACUUUCUUAACUUAGGAGGUCUAAAUUCAUUAGUUAUGAUUUGAUUUGGAGCUUCUAACCCCAGCAAUGACAAAGUCCAUAUUUGCUUUCCUUUUUGUUCGAGUAGCUCAGUGUUUGAGACUUCAUAACAUUUUGUUUCUUCCUGAUAUGUCUCGACAAAUGAAUCAUUCUACAGUACAUCUGAUGUAGGACUAUUUAGACUCCGUCAGGAGUUUUAACCAAUAUCGUUUGGUUAAGACGAAAUAAGAGAAAAGAAGGACUAUUUAGACUCCGUCAGGAGUUUUAACCAAUAUCGUUUGGCUAAGACGAAAUAGGAGAAAAGAUAAACUGAAAGACUAAAAGUCUUAUUGAAAUUCCUCAAAAAUUGAAAAGUGAAAAGUCCCUUUCUAAUAGCCAAGGGAGGCUAUUUAUAAUAGAAAUAAAAUAAUUCUAAUCCUAAUAGGAGUCUAAAAUCCUAAUAGCCAAGGGAGGCUAAAUAGAAAUAAAACUCUAAUAUGCAAAAUAAUCCUAAUCCUAAUAGGACUCUAAAAUCCUAAUAGCCAAGGGAGGCUAUUUACAAUAGAAAUAAAACUCUAAUAUGCAAAAUAAUAAAAAUACCCAAAAUAUCCAAAAUAAUAAUUAAAAUAUAAAAGUUAGCCCCGGUCCAACUCUGCCGUAAAAUCCAAGGCUAGUUGCCCCGUAUCAUUCCCUUCCACUUGUAAAGAACUCGUCCUCGAGUUGUCAUCAGCAGGGUAGUACUGAAAUAGAUAUGUCACAUUAAACGUCUCCGAAAUUUUCAUUUCAUGUGGGAGGUCAAGAGCAUAGGCAUUGUCAUUGAUCUUCUGAAUGAUCCGGAAUGGACCAAUCUUCUUGGCGUCAAGGUUUUUCUGUCCUCCACCACGCUCCUGUUUGAAAACAUCCACGUGCUGCUUUGCCAAGUUGCUUGCUGCAAUACUGUUGUAAGCAAAUUCCACCUGGCCUUGGAGGUUUUCACUCUCCUUUGGACUCAUCUUGUAAUGAGGCAGAUUCGGUAAUUUUGAUCCAGGAAUGAGAUCAAUCUGAUGUUGGAUAUCCCGCAGGGGUGGACGCUUUGAUGACUCCUCCACUAUCUUAGGAAACUCCUUUAACAACUCUUUGACGGGCGGUGGUAAAGAUGGUGCAUCCUCCAUUGUACCUUUUGCUCUCAUCAAUAAGGCUAGUGUGCCUUCAGAUUUCUCAACUGCGCCUGAUAGCUUCUGCACUCCUGUAGAAACAGCAACAGUAUGCUUCCCUUCCACCUUAGAAUGUUUCGCAGAACCGGAAGGCAAGAUAGUAAUCUUCUUUUGAUUCCACAUGAACAUGUAUGAAUUCUCCUUCCCUUUAUGCAAAGCAUCAACGUCGAAUUGCCAAGGGCGACCUAGCAAAAUUCCACAGCAAUCCAUAUCCACAACAUCACAAUUAACAGGUUCAGUAUAAGAUUUACCGAUCGAGAUAGGCACGCUGCAGAUUCUGUUGACCUCAAUUGUCGGUCCUUCCUUGAUCCAUCCGACUUUGUAGGGUGAGGGGUGAGGCUGUGUAGGCAACUGUAAUUUUUCUACCAAUUGCUUAGUUAUCAGAUUCUCACAACUGCAGCUAUCUAUAAUUAGCCUGCAAAUUGCCUCUCCUACUCGACACUUUGCCUGAAAAAUCUUCUUCCUUUGCGUCUCAUCCUCCUGUUUUGUUGAACAUAAGAUUUUUUUCACCACAUAGGUGACCUUAGGAUUGGCGGCCAUAGGAAUGGUGGCCAUAGGAUUGACGGCCACAGGAUUGGCGACUGGUUGGGGGUGUGCGGCAACGGCGGGUUGGUGGAUUCCCUGCUGUAGGAUCAGUUGUCUGAUCAUCUCCUUUAAUUCUGCUAAGGAUGCCUCAAUCGCAGCAAGUCGCGCCUCUUGGUUAUCUGCCAUGGUCGAACUUCGCUCUGAUACCAAUCUGAUGUAGGACUAUUUAGACUCCGUCAGGAGUUUUAACCAAUAUCGUUUGGUUAAGACGAAAUAAGAGAAAAGAAGGACUAUUUAGACUCCGUCAGGAGUUUUAACCAAUAUCGUUUGGCUAAGACGAAAUAGGAGAAAAGAUAAACUGAAAGACUAAAAGUCUUAUUGAAAUUCCUCAAAAAUUGAAAAGUGAAAAGUCCCUUUCUAAUAGCCAAGGGAGCUAUUUAUAAUAGAAAUAAAAUAAUCCUAAUCCUAAUAGGAGUCUAAAAUCCUAAUAGCCAAGGGAGGCUAAAUAGAAAUAAAACUCUAAUAUGCAAAAUAAUCCUAAUCCUAAUAGGAGUCUAAAAUCCUAAUAGCCAAGGGAGGCUAUUUACAAUAGAAAUAAAACUCUAAUAUGCAAAAUAAUAAAAAUACCCAAAAUAUCCAAAAUAAUAAUUAAAAUAUAAAAGUUAGCCCCGGUCCAACUCUGCCGUAAAAUCCAAGGCUAGUUGCCCCGACAAAUGAAUCAUUCUACAGUACAUCCCACCAACAUUUCAUCCAAGGACUCAGUAAAUGAGAAUUUGUGAUCCAUAUUUGAAAUAGUGAUAGGAUUUGAAGUUUUGAACCCUCUCUGUUAUUGCAGGACAGGCUCUUCACCUGCAGCAAAGAAACCCGUAGAUGCAACAUCAGUGAGUAAUUUGAUGUUAAAUAUGUUCUCUUUUGUUUUCUACUGGAAGCAGUAGCUUCAUAGCUAUCUUAUAUAAUUUUAUGCAUUACUCAUGUCACUAAUAUGUAGGUUGCAGCACCCGAGACUCAUGGAGUAGAUUACAGGAUCCAACAGGCAAAAAAUUUUGCAGUUGCACAGGCACAACAAGAGGGCUGCACGGCAAAUUUUAGAAUUUUUGAUUCACCAUUUGGGAACUUUCUAGUUCCUGUUAUCCCAACUCGUGCAGAAUUAGCAGAAUUUUUCUCACUGUCAUUGAAUUGAAGUAAAAAUCGGAUUCGGUCGGGUUCGGGUAUUAUGCGGGUAUUGUUAAACGGAUUUGGAACGGGUACGGGUAGUAAAAUUAAAAUACUAAACGGAUUUGGAACGGGUUCGGGAAUUUUAUAUAUAAUCGGGUUCGGAUUUGGGUAUCCUCAAUUUUGCGGGUACCCUACCCGUUGCCAUCCCUACAUGUGAAGGCUUUCUGUAACUUACGCCUGAGGUUGAAGAAAGAAGAUAUUAAGUUUAGUUGGGGUGAUUUUCUUAGAGCACUUGUUCGUCAGAACCAAAGAACGACAAGCCUGUGGCUGCGUGAUUCCGGCAAUUCUGCUCCACCGGGAUUUGUAGCAGAAUUAACAUCAACUAACAAUUUUGAAAAUAUUAAUUUGGCAGCACAUAAUAGGCAAUUCUCCUUAUUUGGCAAAAGUCAACCCAUUGUAAAUAAGGAGACUGAGAACCAUAUUAUGGACAUGGACAAGAAUUCUAUUGGCCAAGGCAGUUCUGAUAAGCUUGAUGAGGAGAUUGCAGUCCGAAGAAAUGAUGAUGCUAAAAAAAGGCCAAGAAACACUAAACAUAACGUUGUUACAGGUUUUCCUUCCUCUCAACAAGAUGCCUCUAACAACACCUCUGCGAAUGUUAAUUUGACAGGCAACAGUGAAGCGACUCAUCUCGUUAAAGGUUGAGAUAGCCGAAAACAAUGAUCGUCUUGUGUUGGAAUUGUCGAGGACUCAGCAAUCCUUGAACAGUUAAUGCAUUGAAGGAUUUGGUUACUAGUUACAAACCAGAUAUUUUAUUUUUGAUGGAAACAAAAACUUUUAGUUCUCGUAUGGAAUUUUUUCAUAAUUUUUUAUAUUUUGAUGGUUGCUUCUCAGUCAAUAGACAAUGAUUGGGAGGAGGCCUUUCGUUAAUGUAGAAAAGUCAUGUGUCUAUUUCUGUGGUUGGUUUUUCUUCAAAUUUUAUUGAUUCGGUUGUUUCGGAAAGUAAUGUUCAAUGGAGGUUUACUGGUUAUUAUGAGUUUUCAGAAUCGCAACGACGAUGUCAGUCUUGGAACCUUAUUCGAGGUUUAUCUCAUAGAAGCUCGCUUUCGUGGCUUUGUUUGGGAGACUUUAAUGAUUUAUGUUCAAGAGAUGAGAAAAGAGGAGCAUCUUUGCCAAAUUAUCUUAUGCAGGAGUUUAGACAGGCACUUAAGAAGCAUUUUUGCCGCUGGAGUUUAGACAGGCACUUAAGAAGCAUUUUUGCCAAAUUAUUUUAUGCAGGGGUUUGAUUUUGAAUGAUUGUAAAUCUUUGUUAGAUUCUAGAACUGAUAUUUCUGUUAGAUGAGUUCGUCGUAAUGCUACUCUAGCUAUUCAUACUAUUCUAACUACUCAUAAUUUGGUUAGAGAAUCUAUUAGAUAUAACCGUCUCUCUAUUUGGGAUGAUAUCUCUCUUUAUUUGAUUAAAUUUUAUUAAUACAAUCAGUAAUUUUGCUUUAAAAAAAAAGGUGAUAUUUCAAUAUAUUUAAAAAUUCGAUGAUCCAUUUAUACGAGGCAUAAGUUAAAUUUCGAGAUCAGUCUUAGACUUCUAAUGCUCUACUAUAACAACUACAUAGAUCAGGAUCACAAUAUGAAAAGAAUUCCAGUCAUGUUAUAUAUACUUGGGAGAUUUAAAGCUAUAUCUAUUCUCUUAGUAUAAAUAAUAGCCCUUAUAUAACUAUUUUUUUUUGAAAUAGGGGGUUGGGGGAGUCGAACCUUAGACCUUUCAAGGCUACAGGAUGCACUUUCCACCAGACUAAGUCUUGGAGUGCAGCCCUUAUAUAACUAUUAUUACCGUGAUAUUUUUUGACAAAAAAAAAGUUACUACCAUUACUCUAUUUACCCAAUUUCUGCCUUUAAGUAACCAACCUAUCCGUUGUCAUUAAUUCUUUUUUUUUUUUUUUUCCUUUUUGCAAGUUUAACCUACCUAAUAAGAGAGUUUAUCUAGGACAACAUCAAUUUUAUUUUUCCAAAAUACUGUCAUUGUUCUUUUAUAGGGUAGCUUUUACUAGCAGACCAAAACUUUUAGUAUUGUUUCGUUGUUGCAAAUUCAAAUUCGAUUUAUUACCAACUUCAUUUUUUUUUGAAAAAACAUAUCUUCUGAUAGCAGGUUUCUAAGUAAAAAAGAAAAAUUACUUUUUAUUUUUCCUUUCCCUUUUUCUCAUAAUUUUUCUUUCUCUCAAAAAGUAAUCCAAUUUCAAACACUUAAUAAUUAUUAUACUACAAUCAUCAAAAUAGCUACAAACACGGAUUUCUAUUUCAAAUCGAUGUGGAAUUCAACACAUCCCUUACGCGUAAAACUACACUGAAAUGUGAUAUACUUAUAUGAGAUCCAAUAUCGGUAAAAAACUCUGAUACCAUAUUAAAUUUAAGUCAAACCUAACUCACCCAAAAACUAAUUCAAGGAAAGGAAUGCUCAAUACCUUAUAAGCUUAUAAGGGCACAUUACCUCUAUUCUAAAUGGAUGUGAGAUUUAAGAAAAGGACUAUAUUGAAGUGCGACCUUAGACACUCCUCCCUUUGAACUAGUUUUUGGAAUGGAUUAGAUCUAACUCAAAUUUAAAUGGUAUCAGAGUUUCCCACUGAAAUUGCGUCUCUUGUAAAUAUGUCAUACUCCACUAUGGUCUAGGUGUGUUGAAUUCUACAUCAGUUUGGGAUAUGAAUAAUGUACCCCUUAUAAGGACUUUAGGCAUUCCUAAUUCUACGUCAGUUUGGGAUAUAGAUAAUGUACCCCUUAUAAGGACUUUAGACACUCCUACUCUUGAAUUAGUUUUUGAAGUGUAUUAGGUUUGAUCUAAAUUUAACAAGUUAAAGGUACACCAUCCUAACACACUAAAACUACUAUUUCUCUACUAUUUUAUUUAUCUUUUUAUUCACCUAUUUAAAUUAAUUACUGAUUUCAGUACCUCACAUUUUUUUUUCACAGGUUAUAGAUUAUCGGCUCAUAAAGAAGGUAUUUCAAGCAACAUUAUUAUUAAUAUUUAAUUUUACUACAUAACUAAUUAUUCAUUAAUUUUAUAAUAUAAGAUGAUUUUUCAAUGGAUAUAAGUAUAACAGAUAAGUUCGAAUAUCAAAAUUUAUAAGAUACAAAAUAUAUUUAUUUUGCUUUCUUAUUUUUAGUUUUUUUAUUUUUUGAGAAUGAGAGUAAAUAUUAAAUUUAAAUUACAAGACAAAAAAUUUUAAAUUAAAAAGGAGAAGGGAAUUGCUCUCCUUUUCCACUAAUAUCUAACUGUUGUAUGUUGAAAUAGUUGUGUACAAUAAUUUUUCAUUAAAUUUCUAGUAUUUUUUGCAUUUUCUAUUUUAUAAUAUUUUUAGGAAUAUAAAUUGCAGAAUGAAAGAACUAUAUGUUCAUUCACACAUAUCACAUGAAUAUUCGAGUAAAUCUAUCAAAUGUUUGUAAACUAAUUUAAUAAUUAAUUUACGUCAUUUUUAAUUAGAUUAAAAUUAAGUUAUUAUUUUAAUUUACUUUAUCAUGAUUAUAUUAUUAUGAAAUUGAAGGACCAUAAACUAUACAAUCAGUAUAAUUAAAGCUAAAAAAUAAAAUAGUAAUUUAAUCAAACUUUGCUAUACCUGUUUCAUUAUAGGUCGAGAGCGUGAAGGUUUGUAUACCGAAGCCGCAGCGCAAGUAAUCAUUCUUAGCAUUUCCGCCUCAUCAUACGCCUGUUGCAAUUUGGGAUCAACUAGAUCGUUGUAUUCACUAUUCUCCAAAACUCGUCCAAUGCGAUACCUUGCCUGAAUAUUAAUAUAUGAAAGUAUCUUUUAAUAUUUUUAUCAAAAUGGAUAUUUUUUCCCCAUAAUUAGAAUUGUUUAUCUCCUGAAUACAACAGCUUAAUCUGAAAUAUAUAUUAUUUGAGGGAUUUGAGAUAACCCUUAAAAACACCCACAAAAGAAAUAUGUAAUUAGUUGCUAAUAAAUUAUUUUUUUAGGUUCGUCUAAUUAAUAAUUAAAAUUUUUAUUUAAUUAAGUUUAAUUUAUUUAAUUAAUUAUAUAUCUUUCAAAAAAGUUAGUUAAUAAACUAAUUUAAAUAUUUAUUUUUUUGUCUACAUAAUGCAUUUUGUUUAAAAGAAUAAUUGCAAAGUUUGAGUUUAAUUAAAAGUAAAUCCAAAAGAAAUUAACUAAAUAAUUAUAUUUAAAAAAAAAACUAAAUAGUUUAAAAUGAGACAGAAUAUGAAAAAAAAAAUUUGGAAAAAUCAUUCCACCUGCAAAACUCACUUGUAAAAUUAUGAGUAAUCAUAUAUCAUUAAAUAAAAAGAUAUAUAUAUAUAUAUAUAUUAUUACCCAAUUAAUAAUAGUAUCGCCUUGUUUAUCCAUAGGUCUUCUUCCAGUGAUUAAUUCCAUAGGUCUUCUUCCAGUGAUUAAUUCUAAAAGUACAACACCAAAAGAAUAGACAUCUGACUUUUCUGAAACUCUUUGGAUAUCACCAUAUUCUGGAUCAGCAUACCUGUAAUAAAAAACUUAAUUGAUAUCUUUUAAAAUCUUCAUUAAAUAACCCCUUAAAUAAAAGUGAUGUUAUCUAUACUAUCAUUUUAUUUUAUAUUUUAAAUUAUUAAAGCUAAAAUAUCCAUGAAAUAACACUCAACCACUUAACUAAUGAGAAAAAAAUAUGCAUCUUACACAUUAGUUCCCCUUAAUAUACUAGUAAUGUGGUUAACAUUACUAGCAUUCGGCAAAAAGUAUGCAAGUGAAAAAUCUGCAACCUGAAUCAAUAAUUUACCUAAAUUAAUAGAAACUUUUACCGCAAUUUAAUAUAAAAUUUUAGCAUAUAACUAUGAUUUAAUAAGAAUAUCAUACCUUUGGUUGAAAAUCGUUAUCAAGAAGAAUAUUAUCUGAUUUAAUAUCUCGAUGUAUAAUUUUGGGUCUACCUAAAAAUAUAUAUAAUAAAAAUUAAAAAAACUUUAAUGAAAUAAAUUAAUCUCUGAAAAAUUAGAAAGAAAUAAUAGAAGCACCAAUAACUAAUCAUAGCAGGGAAAGAUGGGAGAUUACUCACACUCAUGUAGAUACAGCAAUCCUUUUGCAGAUUGUAUGGCAAUAUUCAUUCUUGUCGGCCACUCCAAAACCUUAGUUUUUUCUACUAAAAAUACAUAAAACAAACUCAAUUAACAUUAAAUUUGACAUUUCAAAUUAAAUUUUCAAUUCUGAUUUGAGAUUAGACUAUCAAUCAGGGGUUGGAGAAAUGGUGUGUGCGAGUUGUACAAGAGUGUAUAAUUAUGCAAGUAUCAACUGCGAAAAAUCAUAUAAUACAUCUACUAUUUUAUGCAGAAUAAUCUACACAGAAAGACAGAUUAUGAUUGAUUGUAUGUAUGAUGUGGACUUGGUAAAUAUACAUCUAUGUAUAGAUGGGUCAAAAUUUUAUAACUUUCUUGCAACUCUAUUUUUUUACUAGUAACUAUAAAAAAAUUUAUAUUGAAUGUGUUAAAAUAGUGUUUGUUUGCCUCUUAAACACGGCUUAAACGCUCAAUAACAUUUUGUCGUGAAUAGCGGAGUGCAGGAAAGAGAGUACUCACCAUGUAAAUGAUCUGCCAAGCUAUGAUUGGGAACAAACUCUAAAACCAGUAGUCUAUCGGCUCCUUCACUGCAGUGCCCAAUCAUUUUGACAAUAUUUGGGUGACUCACACAUCUAAGGUACUCGCCCUCCUCCAAUUUAUCUUCGAAAUUUAUUUUCUUAAGUUUUUUAAUGGCAACCUCUCCACAAUCUAAGGUUGCCUUGAAGACUUGACCAAAACCUCCCUCCCCAAGCAGGCAAUUGUUGGAGAAAUAAUCAGUUGCCUUUGCCAGUUCUUUAAAACCAUACUCCAUCAUCUUAUUUCUUUCAGUAUCCUCAGAGGCUGCUGCGUCAAUUCCGUUCUCCUUAUUAGAAUUUGGUGAGCCAGAUCCAAUCGGAUCUGUAUUUCGAUCCUCCUCAUCAGAAGAUGAACUAGAUUCAAUCGGAUCUAGAACCGGUGACUGGUGAAGUGGCGGUGGAUGUGCAAGGUUUCGAUUUUCCUCAUCGGAAAACUGGCUAUAUUCAAAAAAAUCAAGAGCCGGUGACCGGAGAGGGAGCGUUGCAGGCGGAUGACUUUGAUUAUCGUCAUCAGAAGAGGAGCGAGAUUCAAUCGGAUCUAUUGACUGAUGAGGUAGCGGUGCAGGUAACUUAGAUCUAUCAUCGUCUGAACAAGCCACAAUUGGUUAGGGGGGAAAGAAAAUUCAAGAAGUACUAGAACCGAAAAGACUCUGCAUCUAAACACCUCAAAUAGUUUGACUGAGAGAGAGAGAGAGAAGAGAUUCUAUAAUAAUGGAAAAUAAACAACAGCAUAAAUCAAAAGCCUCCAUCACUUUGGAUUCAGUAUAGAGUGUCAGCUAAGGGAAUACCUUUAGUGCCGGUGCGACGAUCCGCCUCAGUAGUGAUUUUGCUCACAAAGCAACCCAUCGAAAGUUGCUAUACUUUUGCAAUCAUGAUCACUGCAACAAAAGUCCGUAGCAACUAACAGUGCGCUGGCUUGACAGCUUUAUAGACACCGUCGGUAGCAGCCAAUUAUUGAUCAUUUAUAAUUAUUUUAAUUUUAAAAUUUAAAAUUUUUAUAAUAUUAAAUAAAUUCGUUUUCAUUAAAAAUUUUUUGAACAGUCAUUUUCAUAAAUUAAUAUAUAAAACAUUUGACUUUUUAACUUAUAAAAAUAAUUUAUAAUUAAGUUAUUAAAAAUUAAGUUUUAUAAGUCAGUUGAAUCAAUAAAAAUACAACUAGCUGGAUCUUUUACCGACUAUACAGGAUAACUUUUAGCUCAACGAUUAGAACAGAUGCUUUACCAAGCCCAAUGAUAAAGCCUUAUAACCAUUUACCUAUAGAAUCUUGAAUAAUGCCUCCUCCAUAAGAAAUGUUCUUCUUUAGGAAAUAACAGCAUCAAUGUUUAGUUUAACAAUUCUAUCUGGUGGUUUAGAUUAUUUUCCAUCUCGUGAGACUCUCAUUGUAAUUUGACACUGGUAACUUUUCGAGUAUAAUAAGAAUCGAGCAAGUUUCAUUCAACAAAAAAUGAAUAAAAGUCUUGAAAUUAAGAGAGCGUUGAUAAAAAAAUAAAAGCAUUUCUGCAUAGCCAAAGUUUUCAACAGUUUAGUCCGAAAAUAAGGGUCCAAGGAAUUUCAUGUAUCUGGUUACCAUUGUCACGUAGAUUCUGAGGCAAUCACUCCUGUAAGUUCACUCAUGAGUUCACUCGUGAGUGUAAAAAAAAUUCUCAUGCAUGCCGCUAGGGACCAACUUAUUCCAUACAUAAAAAGCUCCUAGACAGAAAGAUGGUUUCAACUUUACUGUUAAAACUCUCGCAUUUAGCGCUUGCACAGAGAUGUCUGCGUGCUCGCUCUUUCGCCCAUGAAACAUUAGCUAGAGGAAUGUUCUAACCCUCUGUGGUCCUUUCCAUUGCCAGAUUAAACUCCAUGCAUUGUCUUCUCUAUGGAAAGGAUCCCCGCACAUUGUUAUAACCAAAUUUGACCGUAUACUAUUCGAAAUUUGUAAAUUUCCAGAUCAUGUUAUCUUGAUUCAAGUAAGGAGCUGGAGGAGAUGAUUCAAGAUAGAGAGAAGAGAAGAUGCAGGCAAAAGAUCUUCCAAAUGAGCCUAAUUCCACCUAGUCACGGAUGCAUAAAUUUAGUUCAGGAGACCCAAUUUAAAUAAAUAACUAAAGUAAAUAAAACAUACUAUUUCCUGUUUCAUUGUUUUGUUUUUUUUUUUAUUAUUAUCAUAAAAUUAUUGUUUACUUUCUUUAAUUGUAGGAACAUAUAUUUGAUUAUUAUAAUUCUAUUUAAUUUUAUGUCAUUUAUAAAUUAAUUUAUCAUUAAUUAUUAUUAUUUUUAAAUAAGUAUUUAAAAUAUUUCUUAGUAUUUAAUAAAAUUUAAUGGUUUUAAGAUGAGUAUAAUUAAAAAGUCAAUAAAAUAAAUUAUCUUUUUUAAUAUGUAUGAAAAAUUAAAAUGGAUAAAAAUUAUUAAAUAAAGAGAGUAUAAAAUUAAUAAAUAUUCAAAAAAUAAUUUUUUUAUAAAAAGUGAAUAAACUAUUAUAAUUAAAUCAUAAUCAUUCUCAUUUAUUUUUUAUUAAUCGAAAUAUAUUCUUAAUGUUAUCAUUAUAAAUAUUUGCAAAUAUAUCUUUCAAUAUAAGUUAUCGAUUAAUUAUUUAUGGUUCAUUACUAUAAAGUCGACUUUUAAUUAUAUUUACUACAGAAAAAUCUAUUUUCGCUAUGGUUAUAACAUGUAAAUUUUUUUAAAAAUAAUACUAUUAAAAUAAUAUAAUAUUUUAAUAUAUGAUUUACUAUUAAAAUUUAAUUUUUUUAAAAUAAAUAAAUAUUUUAAUCCAUUAAAAUUUAUUUUCGUAUAAUUUCAAUCAUAUAAAUAGAUUAGUAAUUAAGUGGAAUAAAUAAAAAAAUAUCACUUAAUAAUAAAAAUAGUAUAUAAAAUUAAAUCAAAUAAUGAAUGAAUAACCUAAGAAAAAGUUUAAAUGGAGAUUUGCAUUUGAAAUCUUGAAAAUAAAAAGUAAAUUUUUUGGAUUGAAAAAUAAUAGAGAAGAUGAGAGACUAAAUAGUAAAAAUUUCUUUGACAAAUAGAUUAAAGAGUUUGAUCUUAUAAAAUAUAAUAAUGAUUUAAUUAAAUAAUUUUGAAAUAAAGAUGAGUCGGUAAGUUUUUUUUAAAUAUAUAAAUAUUUAAUGAUAAUUUUUCAUAUUUUAGAAAAAAUUACCCAUAUACCUUUAAAAAAUUUUAAAAUUUUCAGAGGUGGCCCAAGGCCGGGUCCGUCCUUGAUCCCACUGUCCUAAGUGAUUCAGAAACUGUUUCUUUCCUCAUUCUAUCAGGAAUGUUUAUGAUCACCAUUUGAGAUAAACAGAUGUCCUCCGUAAGCCAAAAAUUCAACUAGAAAUUAAGCGAUUUUUCAUUCACUAGGGCCAUAUAGAUCUAGCCUUAAGCCUAUCCUACACUGCAAUAAUGCCUCUCCAAAGAAUAGAACAAUGAUUUUUGAGAAGAAGGCAAGGGAAAUCAAAAUUCUUAAUCUUAUAUUUGGAUCACAACACUUGGACCCACAAGACUUGAUGAUUGGUUAGAAUUCCCCAGGCCAAUUUUAUCAUGAAAGCAUGAUUAGUGCUCCUGGUACUUCUGAUACCUAGCACUUCACUUUCUUUGGAAUAUUGUACUCUAUGCCAAUUGACUAACGGAAUAUUACUAUUCCUUCUUGAAUUGCCCAAAUGAAACGUCUGCAAAGUUUAUCAAUCUCAUUACAUAUUGAUGUAGGCAGAUAGGCAGUUUGCAUGACAUACAUAGGAAUAGCGGUAAUAGCCGAUUGGGUGAUUCUCUCGGUAAGAGCAAGUUUUUUAUUCUCCCAAUUUUCAAAUUUUCCUUUGAUAUUUUUAAUGAUGUAUUGGUAUAUAGACCUAUUAAUCCUGGAGUGAAUUAAUGACACCCCUAAAUAUUUACCCAAAUCAUCAGUCACCUGAACUCCAAGCUGCUUACUCAAAAUUCCUCUAUCAUGAAUAGAGAUAUUGAAAGAAAGUAGGACUCAGAUUUUAUCUUUAUUGAUAUUAUGACCUGAACUUUCACAGAAUCCAUCCAACAUAUUAUUAAGAACAUUAACUUGCUCUUGAGAAGCUUCAACAUACAGGAUAAGGUCAUCUGCGAAGAAAAGAUGUGCAAUGGGUGGACCACCCCGAUUGAGGAUCACAGGUUUCCACCAUCUUUUGUCAACAACAUCAGUAAUUCCAUGACCUAAGCAUUCCAUACAAAGAACGAAAAGAUAGGGAGAUAAAGGAUCCACUUGUCUUAAACCUCUUGAUGGUUGGAAGCUAGUAGAAAGCUCUCCAUUCCAAACAGCCUGCAUAGAUAUAGAGGACACAAUUAGAAGGCAACCCCACUUCUAUUAGUGUGUCUUGAAGAAAGGCCCAGCUAAUUCUGUCUUAGGCUUUCUCCAAGUCAACUUUUAGAGUGAUGAAGUCUUUCUUACCUUUCUUAACAUGCAUAGAAUGCAUGAUCUCCUGGGCUAUAAUGAUGUUAUCUGUUAUCUUCAUUCCCAGGGCAAAGCUAGUUUGGUUAGGGCCAACAAGAGAAAGUAAGAUAGAUUUAACUUUGUUGACAAUUAGCUUAACCACAAUUUUGUACAUGACCGUGUACAAAGCAAUAGGCCUGAAAUACUUAAUAUUUACAGGAUGAGAAAUUUUGGGUAUGAAAGAGAUAAGAGUAUGGUUCAAGCCAUUAUCUAGAUUUUGACCUCAUAAAAAAUAUCCUUACCAACUAACUCCCAUUGGCUUUGAAAGAAGCCUACUUGAAAGCCAUCUGGACCUGGAACUUUCUAUGGCUUCAUGUCAAAUAACAAUGCCUGAACUUCUUCUGCAAUCACAACUUGAUUUAGAAUAAACAUUGCAUCAGUCAAAAUACAAGAAAACUUACCUUUGAUAUGAUAAUCACUGUAAGAAGUAUUUUCUUCAUUAUACAGGCUUUGAAAAAACGAUGAUGCAAACUUCUUAAGAUCAUCUUGAUUAUUAACCUAAAUUCCAUUAUCAUUCUGCAAAAACUCAAUUUGGUUUCUUUUCCUUCUCGUUAUUUUAGAGUGAAAAUAGGCAUUAUUUCUGUCACCCCACUUAAUCCAUUCAGCUCUGGACUUCUAAUACUAGAGGAGCUCUUUACGAUCAAAAAUAGAAUCAAGUUCCUUUUUUAGCUCGAUCUCAAGCUCCGAUAAGUAUAUCGAGGACCUAUUAUCAAGAUAUUUCUGAAUACCAUUUAUUUGAGCUAGCAAUCUUUUUUUUUUUCUGUUGAAAAAUAUUCCCAAAUACAUUUCUAUUCCAUAUCCUUAACCUGCUCGACAAACUUGAAAGAGACCCCAUAAAAUUAUUUUGAUUCUAGCCCUAAGCUCGAUGCAUGAAACUAUAGAAUUCAUUAUGUGAAAGCUAGACAGUCUGAAACUUAAAAGAAAGAAGAAUCUAGGGUCCAAAAGUAAAGUUUUGGAAUUUGGCAAGCAAAUAUUUGUGAUCAUAUUAAAGACGGGUCAAAUGAAAAACACUUACUUCUAGAAAAAGAAUUCUCCAAACCUGGCCACUUAGAGCUCUGUUUGGGUGUUCAAACAACUUUUCUUUCUGCAAAAGUUGUUCUAUUUUUAAAUUUAUGUGAUCAUCACUCUCAUUGGCCGGAUUGAUGAUAUAGUCCGUUGGACGAGCCGACAUCAAUUGAUCAAGAGCUCGAUCUAAUUAUGUUCCAUACUUAAAUUAUAGUUUUUUUUUUUUUUUUCCAAAUAAGUAGAGAUUUAUUAAAGUAUGGCCCUGGAAAGUGACAAGAGCAAACGCUCUCGUCCACCCAAGUGAUAAUCCGGAAAAUUACAACCAGUGAUAAAAAUAUAAUUUAAUUUUAUAGUAAUAUACUUAUAGAUAAAAAAUAUUAUUUAAUUUUAAAUUAUUCUUUUAUGUAUGUGUAAUAGAUAAACAUGUAUUUUAAUUUUUGGUUAUUUUAAAUUAUGAAGGACGUGAUAACUAUCCACCUACAUUUCAAAAUUAAAAUAUAAUUUAUUAAAAUUAUAAAAACUCUACAAAAAAAAUUAAAAUUUAAAAAGCAAAUGAUAUGUUUGACCUUCUUUUAUUUAAAAACUUCCUUUAAUUAAAUUGUCUUCAAUGCUAUAUAGAGCUGCAUCGACUAUGCUAAAAUAAUUAUGUUAUAUUUGAAAGGAGUGAAAUUUAUUUAUUUUUUUUAAUUUAUUUGUUUUGUUUUAUUUUAAUUGAAUUUAUUUAUUACUGAUGUAAUUUAUCGGGCUAGGCCAAUUGAUAGGUUUUAUGUGUGUGAUGAGAGUUUUCCGAAAAUCAACAAUUUAUAUAUUUUGUUUGAAAUUAAAGAUUUCAUAAAAAUUAAAUUAAAUUUAUUUAUUUUUUAUUAUUAGCGAAAAAAUUAUACAUAAUUUUAUAAGAAUUAAUGAAAAUUAUUUAAUUUAUUAUUACAAAAAAUAGUUGAAAAAUAUAUAAAUAAUAGAAAUAUAAAGAGAUAAAAAGUUCUCUAAUUCCUUUCAUUCGGUUUCUUAGAAACUCAUAUUCGAUUAAUUUUUAUGUAUAUCGGACAAAUCUAUUAAACAAAAAUGAAUACUUACCAAAGUUCAACUCUGUUCAGUUUUUCUACAUAUAGACCAAGACCAAAAGCUCAUUGACCAUAGCAUUAUUUCUUUCACAAAUAAUUGAUUUAAAAAUUAAAAGAAUUUAUAAUAAAAUAUUAGAAAUACGAUAAAGCUUUCCUUUUUCUUUUACUCUUCAAAUUAAUAUUUGCAUUAUAUGGCUGCAUUUUGCAGUAAAAUUUCAGUAUAACAAGAAAAAUAAUUUGCUAUUUGAUAUUAAUGCCACUUUGGCGAUAAUAAAUUUUGCAGGUAAAGUUUAGUUACCAUAUCUAUAAUAUUAUUUAUAUGAUGAGAAACUCAAUGUAAAAAAAUAUUUAGAAAAUGUAAAAAAAUAUUUAGGAUACGAAAGCAAAUAUCAAGCAUAACCAGAAUUGAAAUUUUAAUAUCUCAUGGUAUAUCGAAUGAAGAAUUGUAAAGAGUAUUAUAAACGAUGACAGAAUCAGUUUCACAUGCAAUAGAUUAAAAGUCCGCAUAGUGUAUCAUUCUGACUGCUGCCGGUACAACACGUGCUUCUCCUGCCACAAUAGAAGAAUACUAUAUUCACAUUGCAGUACCAUGCACAAUCCUACUUGUACUAUCUCUAGCUACCAUAGCAGUAGCAACGUGGAUAAAUUAGUCAAACCAAGCCACAUCACUAUUUAGCUUAAUACAUUUCAAAGGGGAGAACACCAAGCAGCAAUCGAAAAAAAAACAUAUGUGGCUAAGAGGGAGAAUAAGCAAAAAUACACUAUUCUACUGAAAAAUAUUAAAAUCAAUUGAGAUAUGAUGCGAUACAGCUACAGGAUUAGGCUGUACAGACUCAAAAACACAUUUAUUUUUUUCAUUCAAGAUAUGCUAUAAAGUAAGAGUAGCUAAGGUCAGUAACCGAGGACCCUCUGUGUUUAUCUGAAAUUUUUCCAAUAAGACGUCCCACCAUAUUACAAAAGUAGGAAAGCCCAUAGGAACAUGCUUAUAACUGCAAGGGCCAAUGAGCCAAAUUGCACAAGCAUGUGGGCACUAAAAGAAAACAUGUUCCAAAGUUUUAGAGGAAGAUUGACAAAUGGAGUACUUGGAAUCUUACAAAGCACCUUAACGAAAUAGAGACCUGAAGAGACCAUAUGCGUUUCCACGUACCUGGUUGUAUACUAGAAGAAGAGAAGGCAAUAUAUAUUUUCUGUUGAGCAGGUAGACUACACAUGAGUCGCUUAUAACCGGAUCUUAUACUGUAUUGCCCAUACAUAAUGUUAAACAAGAGAAUUUGAUGUACCAAUAGGGGCUACCGAGAUAGAUAGAAUAGCUAUAGCAUAGUGAUGAGUGAACAAAUACUUCACUGCCUAAUGAUUCCAAUUCAAUACCCUAUGGUUAAUUAAGUUAGCCACCCUAGCAAUGCCUAUAUCUUCCAAUAUAAAUCUAAUAUUAAAUUUGAUCAUUAUAAUUUUAUUAUAUUAUUUUAAAAUUUUUAUAACAGUUUACCAUAGUUAUAUUUUUUCUACUAUAAAUAGCUUACAUCUUCACAAAGAAAGUCACUCUCAUUUUCUACUUUAUUCUUUCUUUUCUCUAUGCUUUUGGCUGAAUUAUAAAUUAAAAAUAAAUUUUUAUUAUCCUGAUCCUAAAAAUUAAAUUGUAGAAAAACUUAUUUAAUUUUGAGGAAUUGCAAAAUAAAUCUUUAAUAACGGUGUCUAAUAUGAUUUAAAUUUUAUUAUUUUAUUAUAUUUUUCUAACACAAUUGACUACUAUUACUUUUUACUAUCAUCAAUUAUUUUUAAAAUUAUUUUUUACUAUUAUUAAUAAUUAAUAAUGGCAAGGAGUAUUAUGUUCUCAUUAAACAUUUUAAUAAUAGAGCUUACAAUGAUUUAAAAGAUGAAAUCCAGCGGAUUUUUUUUUAUAAAUAAACUUUUUUAUUAAUAAAUUAAAAAAUUUUAGUAUAAAAAAGUAAUUAAUCUGAUCAUUAGACUCUCCAAAUUCGAUCAAAAUUAAGAUAAAUUAUGCAAAGCGAAAAAACUGUGAAACUUACAUGCAUGUACUGGCGACGGAGUUGAUCAUUAACAAAAGAAGAUGCAUAUUACAUUUGUGUUUCUGCUGUUGCAUGUACAACUAGGUGAUUAAAAGUUAAAACUCACAGUUAUCACAUUUUUCUACUGUUUUCUCGCAGGAAUCUCUCAUCAAAAGAAGCUGAGAUUACAACUAAAACAAUUCAAAACCUCAAACCUAAUAUCAUAAGAGAAUAGACAACCAAAUCACAAUAUUUGAACUAAUAACCAUAAUCAAACCAUAAACAUGGAUCACGCCACGAGGACAAAAUUCUCAAAUCAAGGGGUCGAAAGAGAGUUAAGGAAAGCGUUGUCGUUUUCUCCCCAGAUUAUGCUCCAAGGCAUCCUCCCUUCUAAGACUUGAACAAUCUGCAUCAAUUAGCAAGGGAAGAAUGCUUAAACGUAUAAAUCUUAGUUAAUUAAUUAAUGAAUUAGUAUUGACAGGGAAGAUUAUAAUUAACUUACUAAUAGAUUAUUAAGGAAUUAGUUUUAAAUUAGGUAAGAAGCUAGCCCAAUUAAUUCAAAAUUUUUGUUUAAAAAAUUAUUUCAAUAAUUAAUUUAUAUAAUAAAUAAUAUAAUCACAAAUUCAAGAUUUAAGAAAAUCUUUUUUUAAGGUUAAUUAGAAUUUUAUAGUUACCUUGCUUAUGUUUGGUCGAAACCGUGGAGGUUUAUAUACUGAAGCUGCAACACAGUAAAUCAUUCUAAUCAUCUCUUCCUUCUCAUAUUCUUCUUGUAAUCUGGAAUCGACAAGAUUGGUAUAUUCACCAUUAUCCAAUGCCUGCUUAAUCAGAUCCUCAGCCUGAACAUUGAAUAGUGAAACUAUUUGUUAUUUUUUUUUUCAAAAAAAUCGAAAUAAACUUUUUUUUUUUUUUGUGUCAUGAAUAAUCUAUAACUAUCAUUAAAUUUAUAAAACUCUAAUUAUUUUAAUUAUAUUGGUCCGCAUAUAUUUAUAAAUAAAUUAGAAAACAAGGCAUAAAUAAAUUAUAUGAAUUAUAAAAAAAUAUUGGUCUCCUUAUAUUUAAUCAUGCAUAUAGAUCAAAUAUGUAAAAUUAUUAAACAUUAUAUAUUUUCUAAAUCUAAUUAAUUUAAUUAAUUAGUUUAAGUUUUUAAAUUGAAAUUAAAUAGCUUUAUGGGUUGACUGUGGACUGAGUGCAAAACUAAUUAAUAAUUUAUGAUUAAAAUUAAUUUAUAUAUAAAUAAAAGCUAAGCGUAUAAAGAGUUAGUGUCAUACCCAAUAAAGAAUGGGGAAGCCAUUAACUAUAUAUUCUCUUCCAGAAAUUAGUUCCAAAAGUAUGAUGCCAAAAAAAUAAACAUCUGAUUUCUCUGAUAGUUUUUGUUGAUCAAUAUCAGCGUAACUGCAAUGAAAAGUGAGGUUAGAAUUUCUUUUUCCUGAAAAAAAAUAUGAAAAAUCUUCAUUUGAUGAUGUAUAAAAUAUAUUUUUUAAUAUUUAAAAAAUUUUAAAAUUUUAAUUAAUAAAAAAUAUUUUCAUAAUUAAAAAAAUUAUUUAAAAAAAAGACUUCAUCCUUUUUUUUUUGAACUGGAAAAAAAAGGACUUCAUUCUUAAAAGCAAUAAGUGAUUUUCUACGUAUUAAUAUUUUUAUUAAAAUCUUUAUAUAUAAAUUUAUUAAUAAAUUUUAUUUUUUAAAUUAAAAUCAACUAAUAAAAAAUAAAUUAUCUGAUUUGAAAAUAUUUUUUAUAAAAUUUAUUUUAUAUAAAAAUAUUUUAUAAAUACAAAUUAUUUUUCACAAAUAAAUAGAAUUUUAAAAUUAAUAUUUUUUUUCUGUUAUUUUUCUAUUUUAAAAUUUUAACUAUUCAAAGUAUAAUUGUACUCCAUCGAUCAUUUAAUUAAUAAGGAAAAAUAUCUUACAAUAGACUUCCUGUCGAUACGCGGGUACUAAAAAUGCGAUCUGGCAAAAAAUCGUGAAGACCAAAAUCUGCAAUCUGAAUCAAUAAUUUACAAAAAUUAGAAGAUUUUUCCCAUAUAAUUUGAUAUGAAAAAAAAAAAAAAAGCAACCGGAAUAAAAUUAACUUACAUUCUAGCAUUAAUUAAAUAAAUAAAAUCACAAUUUUUUUCAAAUAUUUUUCAAAAUUUUUAGCAUUUAACUGUAAAUUUAAAUAAAAACAUUAAUAAUUUUUAUAAAAACAUCUUACCUUCGGUAUAAAGUUAUCAUCAAGAAGAAUAUUAUUUGUUUUGAGAUAUCCAUGUAAGACUUUAGGUUUGCCUAAAAAUACAUAUACAAAAAGAGAUUAAAAACUUCAAUGAAAUAAUUAAUAAAAAAGAUACAUAUAUAAUUAUAAAGAUCAAAUUACAGACUAUACAGAGUGAAAAUACUAACAGUUUUCAUGAAGAUAUUCCAAUCCUUUUGCAGAGUGUAUGGCAAUAUUUAUUCUUUUUGACCAAUCCAAAAUAUAUUCGCCUGUAUACAUCAGUUAAAAUUAGAAUAUAUAUUUUAAUUAAAUUUUUUUAUCAUGAUUUUAUUUUACUUAAUUAAUUUAGGAUUUAUAUGAUUAAUUUUCUUAGAUCAGAUUUUUGUUUUUGCUUAUGUAACUAUGAAAUAAUGUAAGGAAUAGAGUAGUGAGAUGUGUAAGACUCUAACAAGUCAUUAUAUGGCAAAUAAAAAUUUAAUUUACAGUAUUCUCAAAUAAUUUUUAAUUUUUUAUUAAAUUUAAAGUGAUUAACUCAAAUUAUUUAAUUGUUAUACUAAUAUAGAGAAGAUGGCAAUAAAAAAGCACUCACCAUGUAAAUGAUAUGUCAAGGUUCUAUUGGGAACAAACUCUGAAACAAGCACUCUAUUGGCUCCCUCGCUGCAGUACCCAAUCACUUUGACAAGAUAUGGGUGCCUCACAAGGCCAAGGAACUUCAUCUCCUUCAGCGUAUUUUCUGGUCGGAUUCGUUUAAGUCUCUUGAUGACAACGUCAUUACCAUCCAAAGUAGCUUUAAACACUUGACCAAGAGCACCCUCGCCAAGGAGACGUGCGUUGGAGAAAUAUUCAGUUGCUGCUGCUAGUUCUUUAUAACCAUAUAUCUUUGGCAUGUUUAUUUGAGUAUUUGGAGGUAUUCCAUCUGACCAAAUAAGAACAAGCCACAGCUAGUAAAACAGAAAACAGAGCAAAAAUGCAUAAAACUUUCUUUUGAUUUGGUAUAUGAACACUCUCAUGUAUUUGAGAAUCUGAAUUUCCAUAAAAAAACACUUUUUGACAAAUUUAUUAGAAAUGGAAAUUCAUAUAUGGUACCCAGCAGACCGUCGAUGUCGUUCCUAUCCAUUAUCUCCUUGGGCAACAUUUUUCUAUCAAGAACUUCAAUUAUCUGCAUCACAAAUAUAUAAUCUUUAAAUGUUACUCCAUAUAUAUAAUCAACUAAAUAAAUUAACUACAGUUAAUAGUUUCACUCCGUUAUCCUUCUGUGGUAGCUAUCUCCCUAUAAUUUUCUUUCUCUUUUUGUUUCUGUUCUUCGUGUCUGUCUCUAAUCAUGGAACAAGAUUUCACCCAUCUUUCAUUGGAUGAAGAAGAAGAUACUCCUAUUCCUCUACUUGUUAGAAUCUCUAAAGAGCAACCCAAACCGAACUAUGAGUUUUGCAUGGUAGGAAUGUUUUUAACCUACAACUACAUUAACGUGCAGUCAAUGAAAUCUAUGAUGGCCCAUCUGAGGCAUCCGUCGGGUGGAGUGUCUAUGGUUGCCCUAGAAGCGAAAAGAUUCUUGUUUCGUUUUUAUAACAUCGUUGAUUUUGAACAGGUGGUGGAUGGAGGCCCGUGGUUAAUAGGUUUCUUCUGGUGUAGAAGGCGGUUAAACAUAAUGAAGACCCACUGCAAUACCUUUGUAUAUGUUGAUUUCUGGGUUUUGAUUAUUAGGUAAUUUCAUUGGAGAAUUCGUGGAUUAUGAUACUAAAAGUAUAUCUUCCCUGUCGGCGGACCCGAUCGAAUAAAGGUUAAGGUCUUCUGUUUGCAAUUUACUAGAUGUUCAUUGGAGAGUUCGUUGAUGCAGUUUUUGAUGCUUAAGGGACAAGAGAUAGCAGCUGAAUGUGCUGCCAUUGCUUGGAAAUUAUGGUAAGCUCGCAACUUGGAACUAUGGCAGCACAAUUCCCAAACCAACGCAAAAAUAGUAGAGGUCACUACUCGAUGGAUAUCUGACUGGCAGGCCUGUCAGAAUAGCAAAACAGGUCCAGGUGUCAGCAUCCAUUAGUCAAGUGGACAGCAGCGGACCAACAGUCCCACAAUGGGAAUUAGUUCACCGUCCGGCCGUGUCUCGUCAACAAGCUGUUAUAAAAAAAACUUGAUAGUUUGUUUAAAUAAACUGCUAAAAUAAACGGUAUAAGAUUUUUUAAGUGUUUAUUUUGUGAAACAUUUUUACUGAAAGUAUGUUGGAGAGACAUUUUAGAGGGAAUCUAAAAUUAAUAUAAGAAAAAUUACUUUUUAAUCUCUAAAGUAUAGCAUAAUUAUCAGAUUUGUUUCUCUAUUUUUAUAAUCAACACUUCCUCCAUCAAAAUUCAAAAUCUCUCCAUCAAAAUUUAAGAUCUCUCCGUAAAAAAUUUUUGUUAAAUCAAUGAUUGAUCAAAAGUAGGAAAAUAAAUAUAAUCCCAAAAUACUCUUAUCAAUAAUAAAAUGAAAAAAUUACUAUUUAGUUUUCAGAGUAUGAAAAAACACGCUACUUAGUUUCUCAAUUUUGAAAAGUAUAUUAAAAUGUCUCUGACAUAGAGACAUUUUAAUAAGUCUACUAGUUAGUUUUUCUAUUAAUUUUAUCACUAAAUAUUUUAUUAUUUAGUCCCUAUAGAUUAGAAAAAAAUUAUUUAUUGGUCUCUCAAAUUAUUAAAAAGUUAAAUAAUUAGUCCAUCCAUAUCAGAGUAUUUUAGAUUUUUUUUUAUAAUAUUUAACGACUAAAAUUAAUAGAAAGACUAAUUAGUAGACUUUUUAAAAUGUCAAGAACGUUAUAAUGAAAUUUUCAAAUGGCAAGCAGUAAUCAAUGGUGAGCGGCAUAACAAAAAUAAUUUAUAUUGAGUUUUAACUUUUUAUUUUUAAUAACUUAAAUUUUAUAUAUUUUAAUUUUUAUUAUUUUUUCUGAAUUUAAAUAUUAAAUUUAUUGAAAUUUUUAUUUUGUUUAUAAAAAUUGAGAUUGAAUUUGAGAUUUUCUUUCUUAAAUUUUGAUGAAAUUAAAUUUCAAAAAAUAAAAGGACAAAUCUAUUAAUUAUAUAAUUCACCGACGGUAUUUUUUAUGGAGGGACUUCUAAUUUUGAAAGAAUUAAACCUAAAAGACGAAAAUGUUGGUUUCUAAAAAUAAAAGGACGAAUCUGUUAAUUACGCAGAUAAAAAAGUAAUUUUUCCUUUGAUAUAUUAUAUUAUAAAUCAAAUACUUGUCGUUUGAACACGUGGUUAAUUAAAAUAGAAAUUAUGCUCAGACAAAUACUGUUUUUAUUAUUUUCUAUCCAAACAUCUCCGUGUCUAUCUAAAGAGAUGCCCAACUCUAUAUGUAUUUUUUAUAUAUUUUUUUAAAUUCUAUGAUAAAAGACUAUUUAGACUCCAUCAGGAGUUUCAACCAAUAUCGUUUGGGUAUGACGAAAUAAGAGAAAAGAUAGGAUGAAAGACUAAAAAUCUUAUUGAAAUUCCUCAAAGAUUGAAAAGUCCCUUUUUAAUAGCCAAUGGAGGCUAUUUAUAAUAAAAAUAAAACUCUAAUGUGCAAAAUUAUGAAAAUACCCAAAAUAUCCAAAAAUAAUAAUUAAAAUACAAAAGUUAGCCCCGGUCCAAGUCUGCCGUAAAAUCUAAGGCUAGUUGCUCCAUGUCAUUCUUUUCCACUUGUAAAGAACUCGACCUCGAGUUGUCAUCAGCAGGGUAGUACUGAAAUAGAUUUGCCACAUUAAACGUAUUGGAAAUUUUUAUCUCAUGUGGGAGGUCAAGAACAUAGGCAUUGUCAUUGAUCUUCUGAAUGAUCCGGAAUGGACCAAUCUUCUUGGCGUCAAGUUUUUUCUGUCCUCCACCACGAUCGUUGUGUAAAUACACCAUAACUUGGUCACCGACAUUGAAGGACUUGAAACGCUUAUGUUUAUCAGCUGUACCUUUAUAUUUGUCAUUGGCUUCUGUAAGGCAUUGUUGUACCUGUUUGAAAACAUCCACAUGCUGCUUUGCCAAGUUGCUUGCUACAAUACUGUUGUGAGAACCUGUGGGAAGAGCAACAAGAUCAACUGUAUGCGCUGGGACUUUCCUGUACGCAACAGCAAAUGGUGACAUCUUUGCGGAGCUAUGGACAACACUGUUGUUAGCAAAUUCCACCAGGUCUUGAAGGAUUUCACUCUCCUUUGGACUCAUCUUGUAAUGAGGUAGAUUCAAUAGUUUUGAUCUAGGAAUGAGAUCAAUCUGAUAUUGAAUAUCUCGCAGAGAUGGAAGCUUGAAUGAUUCCUCCACUAUCUUAGGAAACUCCUUCAACAGCUCUUUGACGGGUGGUGUUAAAGAUGGUGCAUCCUCCAUUGUACCUUUUGCUCUCACCAAUAAGGCCAAUGUGCCUUCAGAUUUCUCAACUGUGCCUGAUAGCCUCUGUACUCCCAUGGAAACAACAACAACAUUCUUCCCUUCCACUUUAGAAUGUUUAACAGAACCGGAAGGCAAGAUAGUAAUCUUCUUUUGAUUCCACGUGAACAUGUAUGAAUUCUUUUUUCCUUUGUGCAACGCAUCAACAUCGAACUGCCAAGGGCGACCUAGCAAAAUUUCACAGCAAUUCAUAUUCACAACAUCACAAUUAACAAGUUCAGCAUAAGAUUUACUGAUCGAGAUAGGCACGCUGCAGAUUUUGUUGACCUCAAUUGUCGGACCUUCCUUAAUCCAUCCGACUUUGUAUGGCGAAGGGUGCGGCUGUGUAGGUAACUGUAAUUUCUCCACCAAUUGCUUAGCUAUCAGAUUCUCACAACUGCAGCUAUCUAUAAUUAGCCUGCGAAUUGCCUCUCAUACUCGACACUUUGCCUGGACAAUCUUCCUCUUUUGCGUCUCAUUCUCCUGUUUUGUUGAACAUAAGAUUUUUUUCACUACAUAGGUGACCUCAGGAUUGGCGACUGGCUGGGGGUGUGCGGCGGCAGCGGGUUGGUGAAUUCCCUGCUGUAGGGUCAAUUGUCCGAUCAUCUCCCUCAAUUCUGCCAAAGAUGCCUCAAUCGCAGUAAGUCGCACCUCUUGGUUAUCUGUCAUGGUCGAACUUUGCUCUGAUACCAAUCUGAUAAAGGACUAUUUAAACUCCGUCAGGAGUUUCAACCAAUAUCGUUUGGCUAAGACGAAAUAAGAGAAAAGAUAGGACGAAAGACAAAAAGUCUUAUUGAAAUUCCUCAAAAAUUGAAAAGUCCAUUUCUAAUAGCCAAGGGAGACUAUUUAUAAUAGAAACAAAACCCUAAUGUGCAAAAUUAUAAAAAUACCCAAAAUAUCCAAAAAUAAUAAUUAAAAUACAAAAGUUAACCCUGGUCCAAGUCUAUCGUAAAAUCCAAGACUAGUUGCUCCAUGUCAUUUUAACCUGAAUUUCUUCUAAAAGGUUACAAAAUUGCUUCUGUGAUUUGAUUUUAUUGUAUCCUGAAAGAGUAUUGCUACACCUUUACAACAAACGUAAGGGAUAAUUAACUUUUAAAAAAAAUAUUUUUUUUUUCACGCCUUAAAACCUGUUUAUACGUAUAUUUUGUUAACACAAGCUUUUGUGAAUUGUUCUGUCAAAUUGAUGGAGCAAUAUUCUCAGCUUAAGAUUUCGUUGGCUAUGGCAUUGUGAUCGAGGACUCUGACAACGAGCUGUGUCUGAUUUCUCGGAAAAAAAUGACUCACAGGCGGUUGUAGAAGCCUUAGCUUUGCUCGCUGUCUUACUUUUGCGGUGGAAUUCUUGCCAUUAAAUGGUUGCAUCAUCUCGGAUUGCCAGCAUGUGGUCCAAGCUUUACACAGCAGUCUUCCAGACUUUUCAGAGCUUGGUCUCAUUAUUUCAUAUUAUAAACAAAUUUUGAACUCUAGAGUUGAUAGCUUGGUUAAGUGGGAUAGGAGACAAGCAACAAUGGCAACUCAAUCAUCAGCUAGAGAGUCCAUUAAUCAUUCUUGCUUCCAUGUUUGGAAUUAAACUCCCAAUGUUUAUUGGAGUUUUAUUAAUUAUAUGAAAUUAUUUUUUUAAAAAAAUGUUAUAUAUAUUAAUAUUGAAUCAAAAUGUCUUUAAAAUUUAUUAUUAUUAUUAGUUAAAGCAAUAUAAAUUAUAUUAUAAAUAAAAUUAAAACUAAAAUAUAAAUUAUAUAAUAAAUAAAAUUAAAAUUAAAAAAUAACAUAACGACGUUUAAUUAAUCACAUAUAUAAACUCUUACCUGUUUUAUAUUUGGUCGAAAAGGUGAAGGUUUAUAUAGAGAAGCAGCAGCGCAAUAAAUCAUUCUUAUCAUUUCUUCUUCCUCAUACUCUUUCAAUCUUGGAUCAACAAGGCUCGUACAAUCAUCCUCGUACAAAGUUUGUCCAAUCCUACUUUUAGCCUGAACAAAAGUAUAAUUUGUUAAUAAUUUUUUUAUUGAAUUAAAGUUUUAAUUUUCUAUAAAUAUCAUUAUAAUAAUUCUUUUCUGCAUGUAAUAGUUUAAUUUAAAGAAAAAUAUAUGGCUUAAGGUACUUGAAAAUUUCCAUUGAUUAUUUAUAAUAUGUCAAAGUAAAAAAUAAGAGGUGUGAACUUAUUUGAAAUGUAAAUAUAUAAUUAUAUAUUUAAAUAUAAAUCAUAUGUAAGUAUAAUUUAAUUGAAUUAUAUAACUUUAGUUCUAACAAAGUUCUCAAUUAGUCUAAACAUAGUUAUAAAGAAAAAAAAGUUAAUUUAAAAAGCUCUCAAUUAAUUAAAAAAUCUUGAACAUUAUGAAGAGAAAAAAAAAACAGAGUUCUCAAUUAGUCUUAAACAUAGUUAUAAAGGGGAAAAAAAUAAUAAAAAGCUCUCAAUUAUAAAAAAUCUUGAAUAUUAUAAAGAAAAAAAAUAUUUAUCCAAUCAUUUAUAAUUAAAUCAACAUAUGCAUGCGUUAAUGUCUUACCCAUUUGACUAUUGUAGCAUCCCGUGAUCAGAACAAGGUUUUCUUCCGGUAAUUAAUUCUAAAAGUAUAACACCAAAAGAAUAUAUAUCUAAUUUAUCUGAAAUUUUUUGAGUAUUACCAUAUUCUGGAUCCGCAUAACUGCAAUAAUGAAAAAAUAAAAAAUUAAGUUAAAAUUUUUCCAUAAAUUAAAAUUUUUAACUAGAUAAAUCUUUGAAAAGAAAGUUUUUUCUCCAUCAUUUUAUUUAAAUCAAGUAUAAUUGUUUUGAGAUGAAAAGAAAUUAAAUUUUAUAGAAACUUUAUGUUUUACUUCAAAUUUUUUAAAGUAAUAGCUAGUUUUAUAAAUCAACCAUAAUAUAGAGAAUAUGCUCUAUAUUAACAAAACAUGAUAAUAAUUAAAAAAUAUGCAAAUAUAUUUUUUUGGUAAAAUUUUAAAAAUUACACUCUGACAUUUAUAUAUUUAUUCUAUAAAUUUGUAGGUAGAUUAAAGUGAUUAUUUUAUGAAAAAUUAAUAAAUUGAUAUAUAAUAAUAUAUAGUGAUAUUUUCAGAAAACACCAAAAAAAAAAAUAUGUACAAUAGAAUAAAAUAUUUUAAUAAUUGUAUUAUAACUUUUUAUUAUUAUAAUUAAAUAACUUAAUUAAAUGUUAUUAAUUUAAUAUAAUUUUUAAUAUUAAUUUGUAAAAAAUAUAUGUAUCUGAAAAAUAGUCUUUUUUUAUUAAUUUAAAAUUUUUAUAUAAAGAAUUACUUUGCAAAAAUAACUGUCAUUUUACUUUAUUUUUUGUUUUCAUAAGCUCCCGUCAUUAUUUUACAUUAUACUUUUUAUUUAAUAAUUCAAAAGUGGAUUGUAAGGAAAAAGUAUAUAUACUUACCCAUUAGUUCCCCUAAAUAGACUGGUGAUGUGGGAAACUUUAUCAGUAUCCGACAAAAAACUAGAAAGUGAAAAAUCAGCAACCUGAAUCAAUAACGAUUCAUAUAAAUUGUUAGAUUUUUUUUUAACAUAUAAUUUCUUUUUUUUAUAGAAAAAAACAGAAUGUAAUAAAUUUAUUUAUUUAUAUCCAAAUUGAUAAAAUCACACAAAAUUUUCAAUAUUAUCAAAAAGAUAUCUUCAAACUUAGAUUAAAGUUUAAAUGCUACUAGUUAAUAUAUAAAUAAUACCUUCGCAUUAAAAUUAUUAUCAAGCAGAAUAUUAUCUGCUUUCAUAUCUCGAUGUAUAAUUUUUGGUUCACCUGAAAAAAAAAAUGUAAUAAGAGAUAAAAAAAAUUUUAAUUAAUAAUAUAUUUAUACUUUUAACAAUUAUUUAUAGCAUAGAAUAUCAGCUUUUUUUAAAAUCACGCAGAAAAAUAAAAAAAAUAAAAGUUAAAUAUAUAAUCGAGUGGGUGACAUGCUUCUCAAAGUGUUGGACAACUAGCUUAUCGCUGUGGCAAUUUCCCUGGUACGAUGGACCGAACUGACACCAAGUCCAGCCCUUGCAAAUCAACCAGCACAGCCCAAAGCCUCCAACCAUCUUGCACCCAAGAGAGGAUGACACUAAAGAUUGAUACUUUUACCGACACAUAGCGUUGCUAAAAGAGAAAAAAUGAGCAAUUAUUGAUCGUAAUAGUUAAUUCUAUAAGUGAUAAGGAGCCCACGAUUGUACAGCCAACCUAAAAUCCCUCUUUUAAAAAUGUGACAACCUGUAAAGUGAUCUUAAAAUAAAAGUGAAUAAAUAUAGAAUAAUGAUUUUUUUGAAUAAAAGUGAGACGGUGGACUCUUUGAAGUAAAGUGAGGCAAUGGUUUCUUGAUGUAAAAUUGAAGCAGUGAUCUUUUUAAAUAAAAAGUGAGAUAAUGGUCCCUGAAAAUAAAUUUAAUACAGUUAUUUCUUUGAAUAAAAUUGAGACAGUAGCCUCUUGUGUAUUCUGUUAAAAUUAUGCAAUAACAUUAAAUGCGAUAUGAGGAUUACUUUAAAAGUAAAUUAAGGAUAAAAUAACAAUGACGAGAGUUGCAGACUAGUUCUCACGAGAGGGUCAAUGAAGCAGAUCAGACUAAAAUCAAGGUUGAAAGUUACUAGUUAAUCCUAAAGUGGAUGCCUAUAAGGUAAACAAUGUCAAAUAAAAUAAAUAAAUUUUGGUUGGAUUGGAGAUUGGAAGUUGUAUAAAUGUGUUGAAUUUAUAUUAUAUUUUUAUUGUAUUAAGCUUAGUUAUUAAAAAAUAAAUAUUUAAAAUUAAUUUUUUAUUUUUAGAAAUUAAAAAAUUAUUUUCAUUAUAUAAACUAUUGGGUAAUUUUUUCAAUACUUGUAGUGUUCAACAAGUGCCAUUUCAGCACAAGACCAUUUUAGCAUAAGUGUUAAAUAAGUUCCUCUUAUUCAGCACUUAUAGAUCCAACCAUUCAUAGACCAAGACGGUCACCCGAUUUUUUUUUUUAAUUUAGAAUAAUUUCUUUUCUUCACUAUAAUUAAAAAAAAUACUAGUAAAAAGAAAUAUUUUUAUAUAUUUUUUUAUUAAAUUUAAUUAUUAAAAAAUAAAUAUUUAACGUUAAAUUUUUAUUCUCAGACAUUAGAAAGUUUCAUUUUGUUUAGAAAUUGUUAAAAAUAUACCGAAAAUAAUGUUUCAAAAUAAAAAAAAAUUAAUCUUAAAUAUUUAUUUUGUAAUAAUUAAGUUUGAUAUAAAAAUAUAAUAUAAAUUUAAUAUUAAAAGAUAUGCUACAUGACUAUUGAAAUGAUCAGUUGACGUGUGUUGAACAAAUUUGCUACGUCAGCACGCUGGCUGAUCUGACACUUUGAAUAACCAUGCCACACACUCUUGAAUCCGAAAAUACAGUUUGGUUAUACACCAUUUUUAUUUUUUCUGCAUGAUUUGAAAAGAAAAAAAAAAUUCAUAGAAAGCAGUAAAAAUACUCACAGCCUUGAUGUAAAUAUAGCAACCCAUGUGCAGAUUGCAAGGCAAUUUUCAUUCUGGUUGGCCAGUCCAGAGUCUUGUUCUUUUCAUCUGUUAAAGACAUAAUAAAUCACACUAAAAAAUAAGAUUAUAUUUAUGAUUUGAGUAAAAGGACUCACCGUGUAAAUGAUAUGUCAAUGUCUUAUUAGGAACAAACUCUAAAACAAGCACUCUAUUGGAUCCCUCCCUGCAAAGCCCAAUCAUCUUAACAAUGUUUGGAUGAUUCACACAGGUAAGGAACUCACUCUCCUCCAAUUUAUUUUCCAGCUUUGGUACUUUAAGUUUCUUUAUAGCAACUUUUACACCAUCUAAGGUUGCCUCGUAGACUUGUCCAAAACCACCCUCCCCAAGGAGAUAGUCUCCGGAGAAAUACCCAGUUACAUAUGCUAGUUUUUCAUAACCAUAUUUCUUCAACUGGUGAGGUGGCGUUGCAGGUAACUUGGAUAUAUCAUCUGAAAAAAAUUACAACUAGCCACAAUUAGUUAGGGAAAAAAAAACACAGUACACAGACAACUUCAAUAUUGAAAGAAAGAAGCAUCUGCUAGUUCUUUAUAACCAUAUUCCUUCAACUGGUGAGGUGGCGGUGCAGGUAAGUUGGAUCUAUCAUCU